UGGGGCGGUGGGGGGGAGGCGUUCCGCAGGGCGCCCGGGGUAGGUGGGCGGUAGCUGAGGGGCCUGACUUGGUGUGGGGCGGUUUGUUUAAAAGGCCAGAGAGCGGCAUUUUGGAAAGGUUAGGUUCACACCCCCCCGCCGGAGGUGGCGAUGGACACGCCGCUGCGGGCUAUGCGGAUUGCGGUUCGAAGAUCCGAAAUAGCCUCCUGCUGGUUUUACUGCGAGAAACUCGGCAGCUUUCAGCUCCCUGGAGAGGAUGGGGAAACCCGAUAAGAAAUGCUGGCUGAGCUAGGAAAGUUUAAAUGAGCUGGUGAAUUUUCACCGUGACCUUACCCACUGCAGACAGCGUCUGAGGAGUGUAAACCUGCCCUCUAUGUUUGGAAUUUCGGCGCCUGGGAGUCCUUUUCAAGCAUCCUGCAAAUGAGAGAAAACCAUGCCCCCCCCCCCCCAGUGAAUUAGCAAAGUUGUUUGAAACGAAUCAAAAACAUUGUUUUCUAUUUUUCUUCCCCAAACUGAGGCGGAGAAAAGGAGAAAAUGGUGUCAGGCUUGAUUGUGUUUGCAAUGGAGUGACUUUUAGAAAGUUGAGACAUGAUUAUUUUUUCUCAGUUUAUUGCCUUAUCUAUUGAAAUCAACACAAUGUAAGUUCCCGACAGCUUCCCCAAGUUUUGUUAUAGAAAGUGAAGUGAAAAUUUCCCCUUAUGAUAAACCUGCAAUUUAGUUACAGCCUGUUUCCUUAAGCUUUUGUGUCAUGUUGACAGUUGGGAGUCCCAUAUUUAUCAGAGUAGGACCGUCCAAUAAAAAUUAAGAGACGCAUACAGUAGUGCUUACUCAUAUUUAUCUCCUCUUAUCGGAGUUCCGGUGUUUUGGUCAGGGUUUGUGUCUCGGAGUUUAAUUAGUAAUGUCAGUAUGCUGCUAAAAAAAGUGUGCUCUUCAGGAAUUAGUCAGAAUUCCAUUUACUUUCUAAAAGCUUGUAAUUAAAGUUUUUACUGUAAGUGUACAUGUCACUACCUUAUAUUUAUGAAUCGCUACAUUUGUUUUGAAAAUAUUUUGAAACUAACCAAGGCAUAUGGAAAUAAUGUAUGAUUAGUAGAUAGUAAAUUUAGUGUUGUUUUCUUUUGCUCUUGAGAAAAGUUAGCAAUUCUGAGUACUUGCAGCCAGAAGGAUUGACAUUUCUAUAGUGUAUAAUGUAAACAUGUGAUUCAUUCAGCAAAUAUGAAUUUGCACACAUAAGAGUGCCACCCACUGUGGUAAAGGUUGCUAAAAUGCCUCUCUGUUUCUGUCCAGUAUCUUUUUUUCUUCAUGGCUCUAAGUUUGUAAGAAAGGUCUGUUUCACAUCUUUAAUUUCCAAGUUGUCUAUUUUCUUUAACGAAUUAUUUUCGAAAAAAGAAUGUUGUUGUACAUAAAGAGAAAAUCUAAACACUUGGAUGUCAUGUAUUUCUGGUUGGUUUCAUUUAGUUGAAGUAACUGAUAUCAGAUAGAUGUUUUAUGAUGCCCUUCCAUGCAUCACACUUCAUAGUAGCACGUGAGAAUAAAUAUGUGUGCAGUGUUAAGAAUGAGCAAGCCUGCUGUUGUGUAUGGGUGGGAACAUUAGAAUCAGCACAGCAAACAACAGAUAAUUCAAGUCACCCCUUUCCUUGUGUUUCUAAUGUGAUUAUGCUUAAUGGGAAAAAAACCCUAAACUUAACAGUUUUGUCCUUUAAAAGAACUUUCUACUUUAAUAUGCAUAGAAUAUUUAGAAAUAAGCAUAAAUUUGGAGCACUGAAGGGAAACUGUAGACAUCCUAUGAGAGUACUGGGAAUCUCCUCUAUGUUUUGGUUAAAAAGUUAAUCAGAUCUGUGUUCUAAUUCUUCAAUUGUAUCUGUUGGCCUUGGUCUGUUAACCAGUUCUAGUGUUUGUGUAUGUGAAGUGAGGUUGUUGGAAUGGAUAAUUUACAAGUUGUUUUCUGACUUCAACUUUUACAGUAGGUGCUUAAUGUGAUAUUAAGUGCCAUAAAAUAGAAAUAGUAUAUAAUAAAUGUUGCAUUGCAAUAAUAACCUUUAAAUCCUGCAAUAUUGAGGGAAUUUUCAGAGCCCUGUCUAUAGAAGAAAAUCUGUGGUGAUUUUUAGAGAGUGAAGUACGUUUGCUAGGUUGAGUGUAGUAGCUGAACUGCAUUGCAGUCUAUUAAGUCAAAGUCUGUUUGACUGAAAUGUAAAAAAUUGCAAUUAAGGUGAAAAUGUUCAAGUCCAUUGUAGCAGUAAUAAAAAUCUUGAUUUGGGCAGUGCUCUGUGUCAAGAAUAAGCUUGCUAUUGUGUAUCCAAUUUGAUAUGUUACUGCUUUCUAACUUAAAACACCCAUCAGUGAAUGGAUCAGUGCCAAUUUUUAUUUUAAGGAUUUUAGGCAGAGAAUAUAAUUGAAUACAUAAAGGAAAAGAUGACUUAAGAAGGCAUUUUUAUCUUGUUACAUUUAGAAUUAAGCUAAAAAUGAUCAGGCAGUUAACUUCUUAAAAUGAUAUUUUAAUAGUAUAUGGAGUAUGUUGAAUGAUAUGAGCUAAGGUUUGUUUUAAAUAGAUACUGUAAAAGAUUUUUAUUCACUGUGAAAUGUAAGCCUUUUAGAAAUUAGUAUUUAAAACCCUAUGUAAGUAUACAAAGGAAGACAUUCAUUAUCUAAUAUAUAGAGAUAUUGUGAAGGACAUGAAGCUUAUUUAAAACAAACACAGUACUUAAAGUAGCCAAGUUAUUGAUGAGUUUUUGUUUGGUUUUGGAUGGUUUCAAAGUUAGUAACACAAAUGAGUUUCAGCAAAACUUUUAGGUCCUAGGAGUUCUGGGGUCUUAUCAUAGUGGAAGAAAGGAUGGGCAGCCAAACAAACGAUGAGAGGAGCCAGGUAGUAAGUGCUGUUGGGACUUUCCUAUCUGUUUUUGAUUUAUUCUUGUUCAUAGCUGCCUGGUUUCCUCCACGGCGCAGGGAACUUAGUGGUUUCUGAAUUUUGCAUUUUGUCAUUUCUGCUCCUUCAAAAGGACUUUCUGCAUAUGAUCCGGUUAUAAAAAUCUCAAGUCAGGAAUCUGAUUGGUCUGGCCUCAGUGGGUUGUCGUCUCCCCGGGGAUUGGGCAGUUAUGGGAACAUGGCAGUGUCUGUCUGGGGGAGUUGGAGAAGGGGUCCCAGCAACAGCCUGAGCAGACACCCACUUCACGGUGGAGCUGGCAUUAAUGUUGAUUCCUGUGGGCCCUGCCUUUGGAGACCUGUGAGUGCCAUGCAUACAAUAGUGUGCCAUGUUCUCUGUGAACGUGAGACUGCCCAGUUUUCCAGGUAGAGCAUCCACAUCUCAUUGUGUGUUUUCAGCAGGGUCAGAGAGACGAUACUGUACUGGAGAAUGAGUGAUCUCCUUUAGGUUCCGGGAUUUAUAUUUGAGCACUGAAAAAAGGAAUAAGGAAACUAGGUUAAAAAUUGUGUGAAUAAUUAUGAAAUGAUCUGUACUGAAUAACAUAAUGGAGCAAUUAAAUUAAAAUAACAUGGAGCAAGGUAUUAGGUGAAACUCACUGAGUAUAGUCCAGCCAACUGUUCAUUCAGGAACUGAUCUUGUAUUAUUUUUUUUUUCCCUUUACUUUGCAGAGGAAGGAGGCAUGUCAAGAAAGACACACAUGCUGGUUAUGGUGGUGCAUGCUUGCAGUCCCAGUGCUAGGGAGGCUGAGGUGGGAGGAUCACUACAAGUUCAAGGCUAACCUCAGCUACAUAGUGAGUUCAAGGCCUGCCUGAACUGCAUAGCGAAACUUUGUCUCAAAAACUCGAAAGAAAGAAAGAAAGACAAACAGAUUAGAAGUUUAUUAUUAGGGAAGUUGUUUUAUCUUUUCUAAAACAUGGGAUUGUGUAUUGAGAAUGCAUUUUCUUCCUAUCAAAUACCUUAACAUGAACUUUAGUUUUCAGAAUGCUUCCCCUGGCAGUAUGAUCUGCUAUCCCUUUAGAAAGACUGUCAGCAAGAAUUGUAAUGAACCAAUGAAAUCUAUAUUCAGCCAGAGCAUCAGUUCUGCAACUAUAUACUUCAGUUUUGUUUUUUUUUUUUUUCGACACAGGGUCUUGCUAUGUAGUCCAAGCUCAUUUUGAACCCACUGUAUAGCCCAACGUAGCCUAAAACUCAUGGCAGUCCUCCUGCCUCAGCCUCCGAGUGCUGGGAUUAUAGGUGUGUGCCACCAUGCCUGGUUAUACUUUGAAAUAGAGCUUUUGGAAUUGAAAAGAAUUCAGGUUACUAGGCAGGAUUGUUUGUGGUCUCACAGAUUAGGUUCAAAUUCUGGCUCCAUCACUUCUGAGCUCUUUGAGCAGGUUAUGUAGCUUUUUAAGCCUGAAUUUAUGUAAUUUUUAAAUGGUGAUAUCGAUGCUUACCACAUAGGGUUAUUCUGAGGGUUAAAUGAGAUAACAUAUUUAAAGGUUCGAACUGUAAUUGACACAUAAUAAUUCAGUAAACCAUUCCUAAAAUGAUAAAAAUUUGACUGUAGUUAGAGCACUAGAUCAGUGUGUCUCCCAAGUGUCGGAGAUGUAAGUCACUUGCAGACAAGCUUCCUGCUCAGUAGGUCUGUUGGGGGUGAGGCCUGAGAUGUGCGUUUUAACGUGGACUCAAGCUUUGCUGACGCUGCUCGUCCAGGAGCAAGGCAGUAGGAGGAGCAGCUUUGCAAGUUAGGAUGAAUACUGAGAAGUUGUCCCCUGAUUAUAUGUGAUGAGAAUGGUGACCCCAGAACAGAAUUAGGAAAGUGAGAGUGAGGGUUGUACAUUGGAAAAGAGUAAAGUAGUUUUGAGGAAAUGUUGACUUGAAGGUGGUGCUGGUGGAUAGUCCAACCGCAGUGUGUCCCUUAAGUCAGCAAGGUGGGAUUAGAGCUCGAGAGCAGGAUUGAGGCUGGGCAGGGAACUGGCACCUACAGCCAUAGAGGUGAGAUUCCUGAGGGGAAUGUGGAAAUAGUGAAGACUCUUGGCGUUGAGGGAAAGACAGAGGAAGAACAGGCAGCAGGAGACAGCUCAGCAAAGAGGCUGGAGAGUCAGAUGUGCUAGAGAGCUUGACGUUGGGGAUGUGCUUUUCCAGAGCAGUUGAUUCAAGCCUGAAGGUUUAAGGAGUGAAUGCGUGACUUAGAGGCAGCAUCUCUUUAUUGGAAGGUUUAGAAGUGGGAAUUGAAAGGUGCCAUUUAGCUUAGGAAUGUCUAGGGAUUUUUCCUUGUCUUGACCUCUUCCUUAUUCAUACCUCCAUUUAUCCUAGCCAGGUUUAUUAUUUCUGUCUUUUCCUAGACUGUUAGUAUAACCUCCUAGCUAAAUUCCAUGUUUGUUUUAUGUACUUUUUUUUUUUUUUUUUGGUGUCACUGAGCCCUAUGAUAGUUGAUUACAAACCAUCAACCCAUUUAUGCUUUUAAGCAAGUAAGUGAAAAUACAGAAGAUGCCUCUUGUCAAGUUCGCAGAUUAUUCGAAUUCCAUAUGUGGACCACUUGGGAAUGUAGAACCCAGUUAAGAACCUUUAGAAGAAUAUGGUGCUUUAGAAAGGAUAUUACUGUGGAGGCUUACUCUGGGAGUUAAGUAAGUUUGUGCAGAUGAUGCUGUAAUUACAAAGAGGUUACAUACUGAGGUUACAUACCCACCCUUAUCACACCUAACUUACCAAGCAUCAUAGCUUAGCCUUGCUGACUUUAAACGUGCUCAGAGCUGGGCAUGUGGUACAUGCUUGUAAUCAAAGCCAAGUGUAACCAUAACCCAAGUGUUAUGGAGAUACUUUUAUGCACAAAUAACUUGAGUAUCAAGAAUGCUAUGGCUGGGGGCAUUAACUAGGAAGAUGUUGGGCUGAGGAUGUGGCUCCGUGGUAGAUGCUAGCUCGGUCAGAGUCCUGGAUUCCGUCCCUAGCAUUGCAAGGGGAAAAGGAGAUACUGAGCAAAGCCAUGAAAGAGGCAAAGGGCUUAGAUAGGAAAGUGCCCAGGGGACAAACAUUGCAGGUCAAGGGACCCACUGGUGCCAAGUCCUGACUUCCAUAAACUGCAAGGAAUCUGUGUGGCCGAAGCAGAGUGAGAGAGGAGCCUGGAAUGGUAGCAAAGGAAGACAAAGAUGGUAACAGGAGCGCGGGUACCAUUGCUUCUGCUUGGGGGACUUUGAGAAGACUCGGGGAAGUGAUGUCAAGGGCCUUGAAAAGUAGGCAGGAUCUCCCUGCUGCAGAAGACAGGAAACAGUGUCUGGGCCUAGGGGCUCAGCCACUGACAAAAGUAAACGGAGCAGAGCAACUGUUCUGCUGUGGCCUUACUGCUCACCGUGGUUUCCUGAACAGUGGCAUCAGCCACCACCCAGGAAGCUGUUAGCAGUGCGGAGUCUUGGGCUUCCCUGCAGGCCUGCUGGAGCAAGCUAUGCUUUUUACUAGAGAGGCGAUUUGUGUGUUUGGAGAGGAAUUGCUGGGGUAAUCUUUGCUUUCCAGCUCCACAUUCCUUGGUUGUGCCCCAGAGAUUGGGGAGGGGGAUUCUGAGCCACUGGGGCACAUUAGCUCUUACUUAGCGUCAUCCAGAACAGCCUGUUUUUAUCUUCCUUGUUUUCAUGAGGGCACUGGAUAUAAUUGGUAGGAGAAAAAAAGGUUCUGUUGCCAAGAAGAUUGCAAACCACAGAAGUAAGUUGUGGGGCAUAUUAAGAUGUGAUUGAAAUAGUUUGAUGCCAUAUUUAAAGUACUAAGCAGUUGAUGACAAAAAACAAACAGUUCUGAAGAGGGACACUAUAACUUACCCUAACUCUCUUUCUAAAGUUAAUAUGUUUGCAGUACAGUUGCAUUCCUCUUGGGGAAUUGGUACAUACACAUACAACAUUUUAAUCAUUUUUUUCUUUCCCUUCCCUUCCCCACCCUCCAUCUCCCAUCACCCCCAUGUCCUUCCCAUCUCCUCCACUCUAAACAGCAAAUGGCACCAUGACCCAGGAGUGCCCUAGUGUGCUCCGUAGUCUCCGAAGUACUUUCUUGCCUUUCCCUUUUGUGUUGGACUUCUCUCUAGUGUCUUGUCCCCUUGUCUCCUCCCAGCUGAUCUCCUGGGUUAGAAAACAUUGUACAAGUGAAGGCCACUGACAUCGAGCCUGCACUCCUACCAUCCAACCUGUUGACUUUUGGACUGCUGACCCUUCAGUCUGCCAGCGUGCCAAAGGGCUGCAGUCCCCAGGUUGGUCAGCCCUAGCCAUGCUCUCAAUUAGGAAAAUUUAAAUUCAGCAUCUUAUAUCAAGUCAUACGUGAUUCGUGGCUCUGAAUUGGACUGUGUGGUCACGGGCCUUGCCCAUCCUUGCAGCACCUUCCACUGGGCAGUGCUUGCUGGGCUAGGACUUCCCAUCCCAAAAACAAAAUAAACUGCAGUCACAACAAAAGUGUCCCUCUGCUCUCCUGGGUCUCACCACGGCUACCAAGCAGCUUCCCUGCUCCCUCCCAAGUUUGUCUCCUGUGAUCUGCAGCUGCCCACUUACCUCUGCCCUUUGUUAGACACUGCUGUCCUCGGUUUCAGCUGUGGUGCCCUCUUCUGCUUCACUGGCAUUUGUUUUUUGGAACCCUGUUGAUUUAGCCUUUGAAUGUUUCAGUGCGCUCUUUCCCACUGGUAGGCAUCUCAGAGGUCCCAGACAGGACUCAUGAUCAUCUCCUACUCCACUCUAUCCACUGCCAUGCCCAAAACUAGUAUUUUCCUCCUCUCAGAAAGUAGGUCACUGCCCCUACACAGGGGCUUAAGCCAAGAGCCCAGGCUAGUGGUGGGGAACCUGUGGCCCUCAUGCUGCAGACCACUUGUUAUCACUGAAAGCUCUAAAAGGUCCACCACCACUGGUGUAGGCCUUAACCUGGAUUCCUCUUUUGUUCGUUGCUUCUUCUCACCCAGGUCUGAGUCUUGCAUCUGAAUAGUCUCCCUGCUUAAGUCCUCUUCUCUUGAGCCCUGUAUUCCUGUAGCAUUGCUCCCCCUAGAUUAACCCUUGCCUCACUUCAGUCCAAAUUGUCCAUAACAGUUACAGAGCAACUAUUCUAAAAGGUGUGUAACAUUGUGUCACUUUCUCAGUUAAACUUCAUGGCUUCUUCCCCUUGCAUUUGGAAUAAAAUCGGGCUCUUCUUUCUGGCUUACAAGAUCUUACUGCUCCGGCCCUGCUCCCCUCUGUGCUCUCACUGGCACACUCUCCCUGCCCCCACCGCCAUUCCUCCCCCACCAGCCACAGUGGAAUAGCCACGCCUGUCUUUUUCUAGUCCUUAAACAAAACAAGCUCAGAGCAGCCCGGAGUGCCUACAUUUAUUUUCCCUUGGUCUGUAUCUAGAACCUUCUUCCCUCAGAUCUUUGAGUCAGCCUUAGUCAUAUUAGUGUCUUAGUUAAAGGAUUGCUUUCUCCGGUGACCUCUGACUUCCUAAUCUAAGGCAGGCCCCUACUAUGUUAGUCUUUUAUUUUUUCCGAGACAGUCUACUUGAGCUGUUUGAGUGUUUCUUAAUUAUCUCCCCCAACUAGAACAUGAAAUCCACAGUGAUCCAGAAUUCAUAAUGUUUACUAGCUGUAUUCUCACACCUAAAGCAGUGCUUUUAUUAGAGUGGUGCUCAACAAAUACCAUAUUAAUGAACGAGUAGAACUGGAACCCUGUACAGUAGGCCUUUGGUGCUCUGCCACUGCACCAUGAGCCCUUCCAGAUUAAGUUUUCAUCAUCAUGUAGUUUAUUUUUGUUACCAUCAAGCACUGUAUUUAGAGAUUUUUUUUUUUUUUUUUGCCAGUGCUUGUGGAGUACGUUAGAAAGUGGGGAAAACUUGCUGCAAGGUGAUGAUAAGAGGUGUGUGGUACCCGCCGCCUGUGUCAAGGAAAGAGCCUCUGUUUCCAGAGCAAGUGGGAACUCUGCCUGGAGGUGAAGCAGGUUCAGAGAGCAAACAGCUUCCCUCCACCACGUCCCAGUGCCAAAGACUCACUGAGUGACUUGUGUGAAGACCAGGGAUGCAGUCACGUGGAAUGAGUGUCCUGCAGUGCUUUUACUGACUUGUUCCUUGUAGUUCAGUCCUUUAAUGGAACCAGGCUUGCCUUUAAAAUUCUGGUGUUCAGAAGUCUGCCACAAGUUAAGUAAGAGUCUCUAGACAUGAUUAAGAAUUGUAACAAUCCUGAUUUCUCCAAUCUUCACUUUUUCUUUGAUGCUUUAUUUCUGCUGGAUCUUUCUGGUGAUGCUUCAUUGCUGUGUGUGUUUGGUUUGUUUGGCCAAGAGCUAUCCCUUUCCCGUGGCCAAUAAGGAUUCUUUGAGUCACGGGGUGAAAGUAUGACCUUCCAGAGAGAGUUGUUUAUCUUUUCCAGUGUUUAGGGGCACUUGGACUGGCCAUCUCCAACUAAAUUCACAGCUGGGAAUUCUGUGGGCUACUUUGUGAUACAAAUUUGGGCUGCAGUCUCAUCAGAGUGGAAUGGGUUGAUAUUUUUGGUGACCCUUAGCCCGAGGGCUUGGCCCUUUUCAUUGUAGCCUGAUGGAAAAAGGGUUUUCUGUUGAAGCCCCCCUUGGGGUGGACCCUGGGCUCCGACUUCCAUCCUUUUCAACCCACUGGGUCAGUAAAGCUCUUAGAGCUGAUGGUGUCUGUCACUGACUUACUGCUUUAUGUCCAGCUUGCACUUUGAUUUGGCAGGGCACUUCUCUCCUACUUCGUUAGAACUUUGCUGCCUGUAAGAACAUGUUCUAAAAAGUGUCUUUGAAUUCAGAAUGUGUACUUCUUUUCAAAGGCACAGUUGAUGUAAUAAUCCUAUCAGCAGAAUUAGAAAUCAGUACCACAGUUUCUUUUUCUGGUGCUGGGGAUGGAACUCCGGGCCUUGGAUAUAUUUGGCAGAUACUCUACCCCUGAGCAGCACCCCCAUAUAGCACCAGAGUUUCUUAAGAGAGUAGAUGACAGGCUGUAAGAAAGAAGGUGAAAGGUCAGAGCCCUGGGGCAAUUCCAGCACCUUUCCCAGGAGUCAGCAGGACCAGAGGAGGAACUAGAGGAAGGAAAGAAACCUCUCUGUCAAGUAGGUGCCAGGCAGUGGGAACCUGAGUUUGUUUUUCCUGGCACAUUUGUGCAGGUAGACCUUACAUGGCUUCUGCAAUUUACCUGUCCCUAGAUCUAAAUGCAUUCAUGUUGUAAUGGUCACUGUGAAUCCUAAUUUCAGAGUGAGACAAGUCAGCUGCCAUCAUGCAGACCUGUAAUCCUGGCUACUAAGAAGGCUGAGGCAGGAGGAUUGCAGGUUCAAGUUUAGCUGAGCAACAUGGAGAGAGUCUGUUUCAGCAAUGAAGCGGAGAGGGUAGGGAGAGAAAGAGUUGGUGACCAUCCAGGUUCAGCAGCCAAUUAUGGCUAAAAGCCAGGUUUCCUGUAGCACAGAUGUGGCUGCCAUGCACUACCAGAAUGAGAGCGAUGGCCAUGGAGUCCUAGGGAGCAGGCCACCACUACCUCCUUUGCAGACAAACGUUGCUGCCCGGCAAAGGAUCUGAGCAACAGAGGAUCUGUGAGCAAUCUAGGGGGAGACAGUUGAGUUUGAAUGGGGCCAUGUAAUUCUUUAGGCAUUGGGUGGUCUUUACGCUGGUGAAGAAGCUGCAAAAAGUAGGGUAGCCACAGGAUAAGCAGCCUCUGCAAAAGCACAGCCCCUUAGAGGGCACGUGGCAUUGUCAGGAGAUUGGUGGAUCUUCUUCAGGAGCCAGUCUGCUUCCGUUCUUUUACUUUUAUCGUUUUAUUGUUUUAUGCAUUUCCAUUCUUAAGGACAUAUUUGGGUUUAAAUUGCUUCUGUUUACACUGUCUCUGGAGACACAACCAUUUAGUAUUAGAAUCAUAUCUGAGAGUUGCUGGAUAAUCUGAUCUGUGCAGUUUGGUGUUACUCGUAAUUCUAAUAAACCUGCUUUUUUUUUUUUUUUUUUUUUUUUUUUUUUGUGGAAGGUGUUCAGUAGGAGGCAACCCAUGAAUGAUGUCUGCAGCACGCCCUGCAUAAAGGCCUUGGCUGUGGGGAAGACCCCCGGGGAGCUAAAUCUCAGCUGUCGCCUGCAUCAUGGGAAGGGGCUGCAUUCACCAAAGGAGGCCCCCUUUGCCCCUGCCCACACAGAGCUGGUGCCUCCUGUGGUAUUCACAGAGCUGCCCUGUGUGCUGGCAGCCCGCAUCACCUGCUUUUCUCAGGUCACUCGCCCAGUGUUUCUCAGGCCAAAUUCUCAAGCGUAGAUAUUUUUUAGGAAGUUCUCAGGAGGUGCUUGGGCCAGAAAGAAAGUGAGAUUUAUAAAGUCCUCUUGCAGAUUUGAAUCUGCUUUAGAAAAUGCAUGCUAAUGCAGUCUUUUUCUGCUGUACACCUAUUUCUGCUUUAAAAUCAGUUUGUGUAAGACAGGCAAGAGGGAAUGUAAUACCAGAUGCGGGAAUCAGUCAAUACACAGCCUUCCGUGAGUUCCUGGCAGGUGGGUACCCACCGGUAGGGGCAGCUAUAGAAUUCAGGGGCUCAGUUAUUCCAUGUGUUACUUCCAUCAAGCAGUCUUCUUUUGUUUUUAAAGCAGGUUGAUACCAGUUUUUACAGUCAGCUGUGGUCCAUGUGACUCAAGUUGUAUUCAGUCCAAAGCGUUUCAUGGCAGGCAGAAUUCUUUUAACAUAAGUAUAGUCAGGAAUUUGUAGUUGCUUGUCUCGUCAGACUACUUGAUCUAUGGAUCAUUCAGAUGAAUCUACUCUGCUCCGGAGAUAUAUGGUGUUAUCUACUGGGUCCAUAAUGACCGUGUAUGUAUUUGCUUUUCAAAGGUUGGAUGUUAUCAUUCUGUGCUUGUGCAGGUUGGCUUGGAGCUUGAUUCUGUAGCUACUGUGUCAUUUUUGUCCCUCAGCCCUGCUCAUUUCAGCUUAGACAGCCAUGCAGGGGAGUAAAUAUUUGACCAGGGAAUGGGGUACCCAUGUCUCUUUCUGUGUAGGUGGUAGAUAACUGGGAAGAAAAAAAAAUGGUGUACUUUUAAUAUUCAGCUCUUGCACCAUAGAAAAAGUAUUUUUUUUUUUUCUAAAGAAGUGAAACUCCUGAGAAUCUUGAAGGAACAAAAGCAGAGCUCUGGGAAAGAAAGGAAAGGUCAUGCUUAUAAACCAAAGCUACCCAGAGCAACUUCCACUUAUGUGGAUGUGCUUUAUUGUGACAGUGGCGACCAUAGCUGACAGUUUUACGGGACCUACGUUACUAUUUGACAUGGAUAUAGACUUUAUAAAGUUAACCCUUAGAUAAAAAUGUGUUUUAAAACUGGACCUUAAGUGACUUAGUUUUCAAAGCUUGAAUUCAAUAGAAAAUUAAAGACCUUUUAGAAAAAAUGAUAAUGUAUACUUAACUUGGAUGAUUAUCUGAGAAUUAUUUCUUAUUCUAUUAUUACAGUACGUAAAAGUAUUAAAUGUUUGGCAGAAAAACAGCAUUCCAAAUAGGCUUUGGUGAAGUAGAUAAUGUUUCACCAUAAAUGACCUACAUGUAAUUUUUUUAUUAAUUUCAAAUUAAAACAUGGAUAUAUCAAUCUUUUAUGUCCUUUUUAGAUUUAAGAAAGUACUUUGUUUCCUUGUGAAAUUUUUCUGCAAGGCUUCUAAGAAUAUUCUGUAUAGAGAAGUAUUUUCAGUAGGAUUGUUUUCCAGUAGUACCUAGAAUGACCAAAUAAUAUUGUCAUCAAUUGAUUGAAGUUCUUUUGCUCAGUUCAGAUGGAAAUCUCAAGUGGGCAAAAUAUAACUCCUUUAACAGCUCUGGGCUUUGAUUGCCAGUAGCCUUUAUUGUAGCUUCUAGCAUCUCCUAGCCAAUGCAGUCAGCUCUUCAGCUACCAAGCUUGUCUCCUUGCUGAGACAAAAUGCCCAACACCCAAAAUGAAGGAGGGAAAGAUCUAUUUAGCUUACAGUUUUUGGAGGUUUCAGUCCAUAGUCAUCUGGCUGCACAGCAGGGUGGCAUGGCACUGGGACAACACUUUAAGACAGCAGCCAGACCCCCCACAAAAAAAGCCUCUUCUCCUCCCCUAUAUUUACACAGGCCACCCCUCCCCACCUGAACCCCUCCUUGCCUUUAGGGCAGGUACAGCACUCACAAAAUCUCUUUGUCCUCCUAUGCAAAGGAGGACCUCCUAUGCAAAGUAACAACCCUUGGCUCCCUGCUAAGUUUCUGUUAAACUUCUAAACUUCUCAAAGUAGACACAAUGUAUCAACCAUAACAGUUCAUACCCACUUUGGCAACUUUCUGGAGCUCUUCCAACAGCUUUGCUGUCUCUCUGGGGUCUUCUGUAGGUUUCCCUGGUCACUGGCACCUGUCAAGGACAUUUGAUGUUGCUGGUCUCUGCAGCCAGUGUCUUUUGGUUGCUGCUGGUCUCCUGGGGCAGUCUCUGUGGGGGCUAGCAUCCUCUAGUGUGUGGUAGUUCUUUUUAAUGCCCACAUUCCCUAGGAUAAAAUUUGCUAGUAGAUUUACAGGACAACUCAAGCAAGGCUUUUUUGGGACCAGUGCAACAUCAGGAUGCAGGUAGCACCCCAAAAGGAGCCCUUCUUUUGCCACCCAAGGGCCGUGAGGGAGGAACCCAGGCCACAUGCACAGUUUUGUGUACUACUUAAGAACUUUUCAAGUGAUGACAUUGUAGAGCUGUCUGGAGGUUACAGGGUAGAAUGGCUGCAGGGCAGAGUCAUCGGGAUUGGUCUCAGAUUCAAGCUGCUGCAGCCAAGGGAGAUACCUCUUGGUGUGGCUGGGGGCACCUACGACAGCCACAGCCUUCAUAGUGAUAACUGUCUUGGCAGAAUUUCAGGAGAAGCCUACUACUGACUGCUCCCUCAUCUCUACGAAAAUGGUGGGAUGAAUCGUGACUGCCGCUACUUUUAAAGUCUCCAAAAGGGCUAGCACAUGUGGAUCACAAACUUUCAGAGCUUUGAGACUUGGGGGCUGUCAGCACCUGUGUUCUUGGCUGCUUCUCAGAGAAGGGACAAGCAGUUCCUAUAGUGUUGGGAAUGGAGGUGGGGUGGUACAGGAAGAACCCUGCCAGUGCUGGGAGGACCCUGUGACUGUUCAUCCCUGCCCCCCAGGAAGCCAGGGGAAGGGGCGUGGCAGCUGCCAGUCAGUUCAUGCCCCUUUCUGGCUGAGGGAAACGGAAGAGUGGUGCUCUGUUUCUUGUUUUUAUCUCAUUAUUUGAGAAUAAGCUUACUUCCAUUUCUGUACCUCCAACAUGAGGGACGAUUUAGGAACUCAUUUCAGUUAUUCUGAUAGCAUGUGGAAUUGUCAUAAUGAGUUAAGCAAAAUGCAUACAUUUACUUACAGUUGUUGGAUACACCAAAUGAGAAGCCCCUAUGUCCCUCAGAAGCCCAAACCCAAACAUGGGUCUUUUGUAAUAAUACAAGUUGGAAGUAAUAAGAGUAAAUGUUCUUGAGUGAGAUAUUUGGGUUAAUGUGAUGUAUCUGCAGUACUGAAAUGUUCCACAUUCAUUACACAUGCUGAUAGAAGUUGGUCUAUUGAUGUGGAGCAGCAGCAAUUGAUAUGUUGAGUGAAACAGAGCCAAUGUGUGUUGAUUGCUUAUAUCUCUUGGGAAAGGGGAGAGAUUAUUAAUGAUUUUUUCACUUUCUACUUAUAUCUUUUUAUAGGUUGAUUUUUUAAAAAAAUGUAUGCAGUCCUAUUAAAACAGGAAAAAUGCAUUCUAAAAUGAGAUGGGUACUGACAAGCAAUAUUUUAUAUCUUGAAUUUAAAGAUGAAAUAAUUCUAUGUUUUGGUUGGUGAAAUAGACAUAUUUGCUUGGUUAUAUUUAUGGGAUUAUUUUUCUUUGGGUAGCCUUUCCUGGAAAUCCUUUGAAUAAAAGACAUGGUAUUGGAAGAAAUGAUUAAUAAAUUAUUUUUAAAGUUGUCACUUGUUGCAAGUUUGGAGGAAACAAAAAUAAAUUGAUAAAACGAUAAACUAGUUUACCUGCAAGUAUCUAAGUUUUUAUUUUGUAUCUCAUAAGUGGAUAAAGUUGAGCAUGUGAUCUCAGUAUAUAAAUUUUUAUUUAUAAAUUUCAUCUGUGUACAAUAUCACAUUUUAUGUUUGUUUCAUAUUACACAUAAAUUUUCACAGAAUGCAUUAAAGAUAAAUACAGCUAAAAACUUUCUCUGGUUAAUGAUUAUUGUUGGUUCUUAUCCAGAUGGUUAUGUGGACUUCAUUUUUUAAAAUGUUGAUGAAUCCUUUGCAGCAAAACAAUCUGGUGUUCUGGUCCUACAUUCAACUUACUUUGCUGUUGUUUUUGAUGUUUUUUGUUUUUCAAAGCCAAGGCCUUGAGUGUGCUAGGCAAGUGCUACAUCACUGAGCUGUACACCCUGUUUAAUUUUAAAAUACAUAAUAGGUAGUAAAUUAUCUCACAAAGCUAAACUAAUCCAAGUGACUGAAGCAUAUUACUGUUUUUAUUAACUAGUGAUUUUCAUAUUCAGAUAAUCUGUCAGUUACUUAAAAAUUUUGUCUAAAAUUUGGCAAAUUUCUAAUUUCUUUGAUAGAAUUAUGUUCUUAUAAAGUAUGCCACAGUUUAUAUUCAUAAGGAUGUAGAUGUGUUUAAAAAUGUUAAAAAACUUUAUAUGUUCAUUGCAAAGUUUAAAAUAGGCUUAAAAUUAGUUAGAAAAGUGGAAGUACUCCAUAAAUAACAAAAGCACAUUUGUUUUCAAAUGCUUUCUCCAUAGUAUGAAUUUCUUUCCAAAAAAGCAGUUGUUUGCUUGCACUUGACUAAAUAACCUUAUUUUUAAAAAAUAUCUGAGUCACAUAUUACGAAUCACCGCCUACAGUCAUAGAGCAGCUUAGAAAAUUUGGAACAAAGUGUAUUUAUGUAGAAGAAAAAAUGUUAAUCAUCCUUAAAACAGUUCUUCUAUAUAUUUUGCCUUAAGGGAAUUAACUAGAAACUUCUGUACAGUGCAGAACGUUUUUGUGGUCUUUUUUGCCCCAUUAUUGUAAAGGUUGUUUCUGUUUUAAUGCUAUAUAGGUAGAAUCUUCCGAAAUAAACUGAACAGAUGACAGAGUGGCCCACUGAUGACCAUGGUUAUAUAAGUGACAUGCACGCAUCUAGUGUGUGAACUUCACUGUGGAUUGCUGAUAGUGAUAAAAGCUGCAUUUCUUAGCUUUAACAGGAAAUUUAUUGUAAGUAGAUAGGUGCUCGAUGUUCUUGUGUCCUCUAGAUCAUCUCACAACUUCCCCAAAAAAGUCACUUAGGAGAUUUUCAGUUACAGUAUGUACGUGAGGGAAAGAGUCGCUGCAGGUUUAUAGUCUUUCGUCAAGUUCUCUUCAUUUUUCAGGUUCCAUUUCCCAAUUAUUAAACAGUAGAGCCAGAUGGUACUGUGGACCACCUCCCCCAUCCUGUUUGAUAAAUUGAAAGAAAAGAAUAACGGACACUCAACAGUACUGUCCACACUAGAAUUUUGUUCUCCUACUGGGAACCAUGCUUGUUACGUAUAUUAAAUUCAUCUACUAAUAGUAUGUUGCUAACUAGCAGCUCCUUGGUUGCAUAGGGGUGGGGGUCUGUCUCUUGUUAUCUUUGUUCCUGAUGACUAAUUUCCUUCUUCAGUCCCUUUACUCUGUUCCUUUGCAUCCCAGCCAUAUGGCCUUGAAGUCUGUAUUGUUCUCUUUUUGUUUCCUAUUGCAGACUCAUGCUUCAUUUAUGAUCAGAAUGUGAAGCAUGCUCACAAUUUCUCAUUUCCUGAGAAGUUGCAUUCUAAGUAUAUCAAGAUGCAAUGUAGAAUCACUGUGAUUCUUUUUAGUGGUAAAGGUAAAGUCCUUAGGUCUACUACCCAAAAGCUUUAAACACUUUUAAAAAUAAAGCAUAGCCAGACAUGGUGGUGUACACUUGUAAUCCCAGCACUUGGGAGACCAAGGCAGGAGGAUCAUUGCAAGUUCGAGAGCAGCCUGGGCUACAGAGUGAGCUCAGGCCAGCCUAAAAUGUACAAUGAAACACUAUCUCAAAAAGUCAAAAAUAAAUAAAUAGAUUUUUAAAAAUCAAGUAUUAGGAAAUACGUAUUUUACACAGUCAUUGUGAAGGAAACUGGCUUUCGAGCUUGAAACCUGAGUCUCUAUUUCUAACCUUCCAUGGCAAAACUGCUUUUCUAGUGGGAAGAUAAAUACUGGUUUAUUUUCAUUCCCUGUUUCUGAGAGAAAUGUGUUAUGAAGGGAAUUUAACAUCAAAAUGAGUGAUCCCAGAAGAUUAAAAGAGGACAUAGGUUAUUGGGUAUACAGAACUAUUUAUUAAUGAAUCUUUCAGAAGCCAAGGCAAAAUGUGACACCAGGUGGUAGAGUGAUACAGAUCAGAUGUGUGGCUUUCUUCCUGUCUGAUUUCUGUGAUGGUCAACCUUGAAUAAGUGAUUCCUUCAAAUAUCAAGCUUUUAGUCUGGCUUGGGGACAAAUUGAAGUCAUUAUUGAAUGCCAAAAGGACAUGCUUUCUAAAAUUGUUGAUGGAACUAUAGGUACCUUGUGUGUGGGUAGUAAAAGACUGUCUUAUUACGUCAAGCGCAAACCUGACAUGCGACCUCAUAAUGAGGGGAAGUUCCAUCUUUCCAGGGGAAAGGUACAGGUAAAACUUGUUGGUUACUUCUGAGAAAAUGCUUAACAAUAAUCCUCAGUGGGAGCCCUCAAAUGCUAAACUUUGGAACGGGAAGACAUUGUGUAGGAAGAGAUACCACACACUUAGCUCUGUGAUAGCAGAAUCUGCACACAGCUUCUAUGUUGUUUACUUAGAAACGAGCGUAUCCCACCCUGCCUCCUUCCUCAAAUAAUCUGUGGUGGCUUUUGGACUGUUUUCCAUUGUCUAAGACACUGACGACUUUCUGGUGCAUGGUCAGUCUGCCAGUGACAAGAGGUUAAGAGUCAAGUGUAGAUCAAUGGCACUUUCAGCCACUCUUUAGCAAUUUUGAGAAAUAUGUGCUUAAGAGAGCUAAUUUGGGGGAAGUUAGAGUUGUGUUUCUUUGGAUUCUGUUCUUUAGUCAUUGGCUAAAGCCCUCAUGGACUAGCUUUAUGCUAAUAGCAGGGUUAGCCACUGUUAUUAUUAUUAUCAUCAUGCUUCACUGUAAUGCUAACAAGAUCAAGAUUAACACAAGUUUAAAGAAAUAAUUGCAAUGAAAUGUCUUCUUGGGAUAAGCAACAACAAGACUUUCCUUUUGCAGGACUCAAACUUUGAAAGGAGUAAGAAGCAUAUUUUGGCCAUAUUCUGUAAUGCACUUAGAAUAAUUUGCUUUUGUGCAUCAGUCUUCUUUGACCUUAAAACACUGCUGAAGAAAAGCUCAAACAGACAGAAAAGUUGUGGGGUGUCUUGGCAACAGCUGUCAGUUUGUGGAAGUUAUGCUUUGUUGGGUCUCUCUCACAUGGUUCUACAUUUUUCUGAGGUUCUACCUUUAUGCAUUUUUUACUUUGCCAAAUCGAAACCAGAUAAAAUUGUAUCUUUUCCUGUCUUGCACACUGAAAUACAUGUGUGCUUCUCUUCUCCAAGGAAUUAGAGUGACAUUGCAGAGCAAUCUGUUUUUGGUUUUCUUUCUUAAUAUUUAUGGCAUACAGGCCUUUGUUAAGUGAAUGCUCAGGUGUAAACUCAGUCAGUGUGUGUUACAAGCAUAUGCAAGGAGUUGUUCCUAGAGGAGAGAAUGGCUGGAUGAAGGGCCUCCUGGAGGUGAGGAGGACCACUGGAAGACUUGAGUGCCAGGGAUGUGCACCUUCUUUAGCUGUGGAAUGUCUUGUAUGGCAGUGGCCCUAAAUUUGAACCUUGAGUUUCAAGGCAUAUAAAAUUCAAAUACAUCGAUAUAUCUGUGUCAGUAUGAGAAAUUUAAAAUAUCAAAAUAUUGCUAACCUCCUUUUGUAACAGUCUCAGAGUAUAAAGCAGAAAAUAGAGCUUGCCUUCUCAAUUGUUGAGUGUCACCUCAACCUGGAAUACCUAAUGGAAAGAAAAUGUGCCUGAUGUCACUUUUUUUAAGACUCUGAAAGGAAUACAGGGAUUUCAAGUCCUCUCCCUUAAUUCAUUCCAGAAGUUUAAUUAGGAUGUAGUUUGUGGAAACUCUUGGGAGAUUAGAUUUCCUUCAGUAGAUAAGAGCAAUUUCCUAAGUACUGAGUUGUCCAAGAAUGUAGUCAAUCUGCUUUUGGGAAUGAUUUUGGGAAUGAUUUUCCUGUUCCUGAAAUUAUUCAAAUAUGUGCUGGUUCAGCAUGUUUUGAAGUUGUUUUCUCCAGUGAUGGACAAGUUGGAUAAACAUUCACAGCGGAGCAGAUUCCCGUGGGCAGAGUUGGAUCCACGCAGCAUUCUUGACACACCAGCUAUGGAUCCAGUCCUGUCCCCCUCACUCAAGAAUGGGUACUGGAAUGGAAAGGAAACUGAUGCCACUUACAGAAUCUCUCUACAUUAUAUGUAAAACAGGAUUUUAAAACCAUAAUUGUUACUGGUAUCAAAUUACAGGUUGAGUACCCCUUACCCAAAAUGCUCAGAACCAGAAAUGUUUCAGGGUUUGGAUUUUUUCAUAUUUUGCAACAUUGAGGUAUCUUGGGGGUGGGACUGAAGUCUGUGCAUGAAAUUCACAUAUGUUUCAUAUACAUUUCAGACACAUAGCCUGAAGGUAAUUGUAUAUUUUUAGUGCACCUUCCUUUUUGACUGUGCCCCAUCAUGAGAGGUCAGGUGUGGAAUUUUUCACUUUUGAUGUCGUGUUGGCACUCAAAAAGGAUUUUGGAGCAUUUGGGAUUUUGAAUUUUCAGAUUAGGGAUGUUCAACCUGUACUAACAGCACAAUACAUAACUUCAUAUUGGGAGUUGAGAGGCCUCUUAGCCGGCCAUUGUUGAGGGACUCCAGGCAUCUAGUGGUCACAGGAUUAAGAACCUUUCAAUUGUUUUAACCUGAGGCUUUGAUUGUCCUGACCAAAAGUUUACAAGGAAAGUUUUCUUUCUAGUGAUUUGCCUUUUUUCUGUGCUUCUUUACCAUUGAUAUUAUUGUUCUGAGAAACAGAGGCCUGAGUUAUCAUGUCCUAGCCCAUUCUAUUUUGCAGUAUUUAAUCUGAUUCGAGAUACCAAAAACAUUGGUUUGAAACAAGGAAUAUCAGGUGAACAGUGUAUAUCUACACUUCACAAAGCUUUUUCUUAAAAAUCUUAUGCCUAUCUCUUAUGCUGUAUAAUUACAAUUUCUAACCCAUAACUUUAAAUGCUCAUAAAUUAAGGCAGACUAAUUUUCAGAAUUAAAGUUCUGUUGAAAUUAUAAACAUCAGAAAUCUUGAAAAAACAUAGACACAGCAGCUGUUCGAUCAUUGAAAUUUAAAUAAGAUUGUCACUGAUAGUGAGGGUUUUUUUCUUUUGCAUCUGUUCCACAAGUGUAAAAAUAAUCUUUCCUGGCCCACUAAAUUUUACUAAGUUGGACCCUUGAUGAAAUAGCCAGAGCCCUGAAGAUGAAGCAGCUGUGUGUAGUAUGCUCGGGUGGGACAGCUGUGGGCACUGUGGAAUGAACAGUGCUCUGAGGAUGUUGUGGGGCACCAGAGGACUUGGCAGGGCAGCAGGACACUAGGAAACAUCAGGGAGAGGCUGUGCAUUCUCCCAGUUUUCAAAGAACUCAAGUGUAGGGUGCAAAUGUUCCCCGUGACAUGUGCCAGAGAUGUCUGAACAGUUGUUAGCAGCUGGAGCUGAUAACAUGUAAUGGGAGGGAACUUCAGGUUCUCUGAUAGGCACCAAUCACGUUUCAGUAAUAUAACUUUUUGAACAAGAUAAGCCAGUAGAAACAAUUUUUUAAAUUUUGAAAAAGUUUAUAAAAUAGAGUAUAAUGAAAUAAAUACUGGUAAAAAGAUAAUGAUAUAUACAUAGGAUAUGAGCUUUGAUGGGGAGGGACAGAUGAGCUUAAACAUUUUAAAAACAAUUUCCUUUGACAAGAGGAGUAUAGGGAGGGCCUACAAGAAAAGAAAGCUAGGGGUCAAGACAGAGGGUACUUAACUAUUGAUGCUCACAGGUGUUGAUACCGGUGGUUAUUAAUAAAAAAAACCUAAUUGAUAAUAUCUUUAAAUUUUUGUAGAUUUAAAUUUUUAUAGUAAGUAUUUAGAGGUAGUGAAAUAGUAACCCGUGUGGAUAAUAAAAAUACAUUUUGGUAAACAUUUUGGGGAGAGGGGAAAUUGCUCUACAUCUAAGGUAUGCCAGGGAUCAUUCAGACAGUUUCUCAUGCAUGCUUGGCUGUAUGCUGAUUAUUGUAGACAGGUGAUAGUGUGGGUGUGUGUGUGUGUGUGUGUGUGUGUGUGUGUGUGUGUGUGUGUGUGUUUAUUCAUUCCCUGGCAGGAGAGCUACCAGACAGCUGGGAAAGGUUAAGAGAAGAACAGCUAGAAGAGGUACAAAACUGUGAGAAGAAAUUAGAGUAAAAAAUGAUCCUGCAUUCUUGAAAGAUAAAGCUGUGAUUAGGAAUCAACAAAAUACAGGCUAAAUAUACUGCUUUAUGAAACCCUCUAGGACUGAACAAAAGAUAGCUGUAGUUGCUAGAGGAGGAGAGGUCAUAAAAAAAAAAAGAUAACUUCUGUAUAGUGGUUUGCAAAGCAGUUUCACCUUGUCAUUUGAGCUUUACACAGAUGAGGAAGAGAAGAAAAUGUUGUUGUUCACAUGUGACAAAUGUGAAGACAGAUGGCUCAGAGAGAGUUAGUGACUUGGCUAGGCUGACCUGGGUCAGGAUCCACACCUGGUUAACUCAGGGCCCUUGCUCCUGCCUGGCCAUAGUGCCAUAUUAGUUAGGCUCUGCACCUGGGGUAAGGCUGUGUGUGUGUCAAGGUUUGUAAGCUGCAGGUGUCACGUAUAUCUUUGUAUCAGGCUCUACAAAUGAAGCAAUAAUGUAAAAUAUAGGGACACUAUUCAGACCUUAAAAGCCAUGAAUCUUGCAGUACUUACAUAAUGGAAGAGUUGAUUUGGGGAGAGCAGUCAGUCCGUCUCAUAGCUUCAAUUAACAUGUCAAUUUAUUCAAUAUAAAGUUCCUUCAUUUUUACCUGUUGUGUACUCUGAUAUGAAGUGGGCUCUUUUUUGUAUCAGGAAUGGCUUCUGCUAGGCAAAAAAGCGCAAAUAUCCAAAAGAUCAGUCUCAUAUGAAAAACUGACCACAGGUAAGGUGGUGAGUGAUUGUAACUGUUUAUUGCCUCACUUGUGGCUGAUGGCAGAAUUUUCAGACAUAGGAGAUGCUAUUUUGAGGAUUAUUGAACCAUCCGUGUCUCUUCAGCUGGUGAGAAUACCACCCAUUUCCACCAAGGGUUAUCAUGGCAUGCUGGCAUUAGAGUACAGUUAGUCUUCUCUCAUAUAGAUUCUAGGAACCAAGUUCAGAGAGUAGUUGAGGCAGGUGAGUGGCAGGAAUGUGUCAUUUGGGCAGGUUUAAUGGAAGGACAGAUACUCGUAGUAUUUUCAAAGCACUUUAUAUCCUUAUCAACUUGUUCAAGCUUAUGCUGCUUCCUUGUUUGCUGAUUUUGUAUGUUAGCCAAAAUAGGAAGUAUCAAGUUGUCAGCACUUUAAAAAAAACUUUUUAGGUUUGUAGACACUGUAAAUAAUAUAUUCACCCAUAAUUUAUUAGAAAUAAAAUGAUCAGAAUGGGUAGUCUAACUUUUAAGUGGCUGAUAUUUUCUAAUAAACACAAGAUGUGCAUACUUGUGUUUGAGAGCUCUUAGUGCUUUCUGGCAAAGAAGUUGGGCAGGCUUCACAGUACACGGACAAAAUGGGUUAAAAAAUAGUAGAAGUGCUAGAAAAGUUUAAUGAUAGGUAAGAUUGGUGCUUUGAUAAAAUUGUUAGAGAACAUUGGAAAAUUUAGCCAAGGUGGGCUGGGGACAGUUCAGAGGCAGAGUGGAUUAGCACAUUCAGUGCCCUUUAUUUGGUCCCCAGCGCGCGCACACACACACACACACACACAACACACACACACUUCUAAGGGUGAUAUACUUCACACAGGCAGUACGUGUGGGUUGUGCAUAAAGUGCCUAGCACAGUGUUUCCUCUUUAAGCAUUACAUCUUUUAAAUUGAUUACAGCACAAAAAUUGGCAGCUGAUGGUGCACGGGCCAAAUCUGUCCUGUUGCCUGUGUUUAUGUGGCCCAUGAGCUAAGAAUUGUGUUUACGUAUGUACAUAAAAAUGAUUUAAAAAGUCAAAGGUGAAUAUUUGAUGACACAUAAAAAUUAUGUGAAAAGCAAAGUACGGUGUUCAUAGGUAAGUUUUAUUGCAUUCCAACUGUACUCAUUUUCCAUCUUCUAGUUGCCUUUGUGCUGAAGCAGCAGAGCUGAGUAGUUGAGACAGCAUCUGUAUUAUUUUACAUUCUCAACAGUGACAUUUGAGGUUUCUAAUUUCAUUAUCUACUUGCCAGUACUUCAUAUUUAUCUUUUUGGUUAUAGUCACCCUACUGGGUUUGAAAGUGCUAUCUCAUUGUGGGCUUGAUUUCCAUUUUCCAACUGACUAGUGAUGUCAGGCAUCUUUUUAUAUGCUGAUUGGUCAUUUUUAACUUCUUUGAGAAAUAGCUGUGUAUUUCACCCACUUUUAAAAUUGGUCUGUCAUUUUAUUAUUGACUUAUAAAAGUUCUUCAUACAUUUGAUAUGCAGAUUCCAUAUCAUGUAUUUGCAAAUAUUUUUCUUUUUCACUUUCUUUAUAUAUUUGUUCAUAGCACUAAAGUUGUACAUUUUGAUAUAGUCCACUUUCUCUGUUAUUGCUUCUUCUUAAUGUCAUAACUAACUAUUGCCUAACCCAAGGACAUAACGAUUUUAGAGGAUUUUUAAAAUAUGUUGUUUAUUCAUUUAUUCUUAGUUCUAUACUUUAUAGCUCGUACUGCCAGGUUUUUUUUUCUUAAUUCAGUCCUUCAAGGAUAAUACGUAUGGGGUACAUACUGCAUAAUAUUCUACAGUAUACAUUAAGAUAGUCAACAGUUACCUGUUGAUGGGUAUAAAGUCUAUUUCCAUUUUUGUUUUUGCCACAAACAAAACUAUAAAACAUUAAUACUUAUGAUUCUAGUAUCAUUACCCCUGCAGGGGAUGUUAUCUAGGGUAGAAUGGGAAGAUUCCUUUAAAAUCUAAGACGGGGUUUGUCUGACAUGAGAAUUCAAGCACUUUAGUCAACUGGUUGGGGAAAAGUCCAAAUUCACUAUAAAAGAACUUUCCAUGCCAUAAAUCAAUUUUAUAGAACUGGAUUGCCCUCAUGAUCUGUUGCUCUCUCAGUAACUUACUUUAAAAAGUAGAACAGACUUGUUUUCCAUGCAGCAGUAGUUGAAGUAACCAUUAUGCCUGCUUUUGUGUGUGUGUGUGUGUGUGUGUGUGUGUGUGUGUACAGUCAGCUGAGAUUGUUUUGCUCGGUUUGGAUGGAAAUAACAAAUAGCAAAGUGCUGUUCUGCUGGCGGCUCUGGGCUUUGAGUGCCGGCAGCUAUCAGCCCUUAGCGUUACAGCUCUGGAUCCUGAGCUCCAGGGGCCUUCUGUUAUUAGUGCUACUGCUGUGGCCUUGAGUAAGAUUGGCUCCUAGUGUUACUGUUCUCUGCUCCUAAGCUCUUUGGAAUCUGAGCUUCUUAUUGUUUUUGUCAGCUUUCUGUAGCUAUUCCAACAGCUUCUGCUGCCUCUUUGGGAUGCCUGGCCUCUGCUGGCUUGCUGCGGUUCUCUAUUGCCAAUCCCUGCCAAUCUCCACAGGUUGUUCUAGUCUCUGCCUCUGGGACUUCUCAGGGCUAAUAGCCCUAUUGUUGUCAACUCUUUUUAAUUAUAUCUGUUCUGCCACAAUACCUGAGAUAAGUACUGUGGGUAGAUUUACAGGAUCACUUGAGCAAGGACUUGUUGGGACCUGUGUUCCAGCACUAAGGGUUAAUACACUGGAGGGAGCCCUACUUACUAACUCAAGGACAAUAAGGGACUUCUGAUUAGAGAGAGGAGCAGAGGGCCACAAUUGUGGAUGUUUUGCAGACCUUUUUGAGGACUUUCACAAUACUUGGAGGACAGGGUCAAGGAAGAGUCAUCAGGCAUGGCUGUAGGGUGAAGUCUUCUGGAAUAGAUCUGUUUCCAGCCUGCUGUGUCCAAGGCAGAUAUCUCCUGGAGCCUACAGGGUGUCCAGAACAGCUAGGUUCAACUUCUGGAGAAGUGGCUGCUUGAUUGACACUUCUAAUGUUUCUGCAAGGAUGGAGUUGAAAUCACUAUGCCAUUGCUUUCCAGGUGUCUCCAGGAGGGCUGCCAUGCUGGCCAUGGCCCACUGGGAUUUGAGGGAUAUCAACAGUGGGCCUGAUCCUUCCUCUCUGUCCUGUCAGUAAUGUUUUCCCAACUGGUCUGUAGGAUAUGGACAAGGCUGUCAGCUGAGCUGAGGUUCCUGUCAAUGUGUCCUGGAAGGUGACCAUGAAAUAACCUCGUGGCUUUGGGAGAACCCUGGUACUGUUUGCCCGGGCUAUCCCUGGGGACAAAUAGUGCCUUGAGGGAGGAGCCUAACAAUGCCAUUAUCUCUUCUGGCUGUCAGAAAGAAAAAGGAAAGGGCUGACCUAGUUUCUUUACUAUCUCAUGAUCAUGCCUCACUGAAAAUAAAUUAGAGAUCAUAUAUAAAGGCAGGUGCACAUUUAGAGCCGUGUGUGUUAAUGUAGGAGCUGACGAGUUCCCUGUAGGAAAGUGGAGUCUGGGCCUUCUCUUAGCUCUGGUUUCUGGCAUUUAAUUUCUUGUAUAUUGUUGAAAAGGGAUAGACAGGGUUAAAAACUGGGGCACCUGAUGUUUUUCAAGUAAUUAUGACCAAAUACAAACAUUAAAAAAUAAAAGUCCAGUAAUUAAAAUUGAGCCAGGCUUGGCGCCACAUGCCUGUAAUCUCAGCACUUGGAGGCUGAGGUAGGAGGUAGGAGGAUCACUGAGAGUUUGAGGCCAGCCUGGGCUACAAAGUAGUUCAAAGCCAACCUGAACUGCAUAAUGAAACCCUGUCUCAAAAAGUGUAAUGUAAUAUUUUUUUUGAGUUGGGGUCUCACUGUGUUGCCCACACUGUUCUCAAAAUUGUGGGCUCAAGUGAUCCUACUGCCUCAGUCUCCUGAGUAACUGGGACUACAAUGCACACUGCCAUGCUGACUGAGUAUAAUUUUAUAACAUUUAUUUGUAAUUUUUUUUUUUUUGAAACAGGGUCUAACUAUGUAGUUCAGGCUGGCCUUGAACUCACUAUGUAGCCAAGGCUGGCCUUGAACUCAUGGCUGUCCUCCUGCCUCAACCUCCCACAUGCUGGAAUUACAGGCCUUUGCUACCAUGCCCAGCUCAAGUAAUGAUAUAAUAGGAAUGAAAACCUUACAGGAGUUUCAGCUGAUAUCCUGUUCCUAUAAAAUCUGAGUAACAUAAUUAAUGGUCAGCUUCUCAUUUAGAAGAGUCAGAGUAACAGAUGAAUGUUUCAGUAUUUUUAAAUUAAGAGCCCUUAGUGGCCUAUCAUAUUGACUCUUCAUUACAGUACACUUAGCUUCCUUUUAAUAAACCUUAAAAUUGGUGCCAUUAUUCAGACUUUAGCUAGAGGAUUGCUUUAGAGUCUUAAUGAAUGAUUGAGAUGCUAAGUUACUAUUUCAGCUUUAUUUUAAACUAUUUUUCUAAUGGCUUUGGGAUCUGUUAUUGCUUGGCAUGAGCCACUAAAGCAAAUAAUUUGUAGGGAACUGACCAGAAAAAGCUAACUUUGAGGGUAUUGUUUUUCUUUUACCUUUUCAUUAAUGGAAACCUUAAAACAUUUCAAAAGUAGGAGGAAUGGUAUAUUCCUUCCCCCAUGUGUGACUUAGCUUCUCAGAACCUGUUUUGUUUCAUUAUUCAUUAUUUGUUUCAUGGCCCUUUACAGCAGCUAGUAGCCUCAUGGGACUACCCAGCACUCGCAUUGUGGCUGCUUUGAAUUGAAAUGUGCUGUGGUGUUAAACACUGCCCCAGAGCCUGUUCCAGCAGCCUGCUCUUCCUCCUUGGAGCUCCUCAGGGAAUUCUUUCUUAGCCCUCAUGUCUACCUCUGUGAAAAUUUCUUUUGCUUCCUGGUAACACUUCUGGAAUUUAUAAUUAUUUGAUGUGUCUACUAAGUUUUGGUCUAACUCAACAUCUUGGUGUGGCAUCUAUGCCCAGCAACAACCUAGUGGACAAACAGCCUGCUUGGAAGGAAUUCUCAAUUCAGCUAGACCCCAUACAUCCUUUUUCACAAAAUGCAUGUGGGCAUAUCAAAGUCUCCUUUAAUAUCCUUCCUGCCUAAAAUCUGUCUAAAGAGAGGUCAUUUAUGUGAAUUUAAUCUCUUGCUUCAAGCUUUCUGUUGUAUUGUGACUUUGGGCCUGUGAACAGCUGGAUUAUGGACAACUGUCAAAUGUCUUAUUCAUGAGGCAUACAUAUAUUAAAUGUGUGUUUGUUUAAAUAAUGAGAUAGCAAGGUGACAGACCCAUAGGUGAAGGCUGAAUAAAAGAUUUUGGUGAGAAACAGACUGGUUCUUCAUAUUUUAGAUAUUAUGACCUAGAUCUGAAAUAUCUCCCCAAUGUCUCAUGUAUUUGGAAGGUGAUUGGGUCAUGGGGGUGUUAUAUUUAUCAGUGGAUUCAUCUGAUGAGUUGAGUGGCUGAAUAUGCUGAUUGGAGGUGAGUCACUACAGGGUGUGAUCUGGGAAGGUCUAUUCUUGUCCCACAGAUUCUCGUUUUUCUCUCUGCUUCCUGACUGCCAUGGGUUGAGCAUCUGCCUUUGGCCUUGCCUUUUCACUGUGUUGUUUCUGCCUUGGAGACAAACUGUGAACUAAAUCCUCUGCAAGGCAAAAUAAACCUCUCCUUCUUUUAAGUUGUGGGUGUUGGGUAUUGUGCCUGAGUGUCAAGAAAGUGACUAAUACAAAGUCUUGGUACUAGAAAAGUAGACCCGUUGCUGUGACUAUACCUUACUUUGUAGUCUACAGCUGGUUUGAGGGAGAAAUUAGGAAAGACUUGGAGAUGCCAACUAGAGAAGUCCCAAAAUCUUAUAAGCCAAGCUCAGAAGACUAGAAUGCUGAUCAGUAUGCAGCAGUAAAAACCAAGCUCAGGAGGUUUCAUUUGGGAACAAGGACUCCACUGCUAGUUGGACUAGAGGCCAUGUGUGUUAUACUCUGGAAGAGAAUUUGUCUUCUUUUGCCCAUGUUCCGAGACUUUGUGGAAGACUGACAUUAACAGUGGCAGAGGAAACAGUGAUAUGGUGGGGAAAUUUCAAAGUAGCCCAGCAUGCAGGCUGUAGCAUGGGAAUUCUUACUGGUUUUAGCCAGAUGGAUAGUGAGAAUCAAGAGUACAAAGUAGAUGUGAAAAGUUUGCAGUUUCAUCAGAGAGAAACAAAGGAGAGCAUAGCUGAAAAGAUUACCAUUAAAAACAAGCCAAGAAUUUUGUAUCAGGAUAGUUUUUAAAAAGUCCUGAAGUCAUCUAGAAAUUGAGCAGACUCCACAUUUCACAAGCUUAAGAGUGCAAGACUAAUAAAUGUUUUAUUUGAGAAGAGAGGUCUGGUGACACCUGUUCAUUCAGGGCCUCCUAGAGAAAUGUAGUUUCAACUUUAGGUGUCCAGGUAUUUAGAGGCUGCGGCAGUCAUGAUCCAAGGGGGCCCAGCUCCUGCUCAAGCUGGCAGCCAACCUUGGCAUCAUUCACAUGGUGUUGGUUUUUCAGACAUACAGAAUAUAAGAGCUAUGGGGUUGCAGAGGCUUCCACACAAGUAUCAGAAGGCUAAGAAACUAAGAUAGGGGAAAAGAGAAAGGAUAGAAGGGAAAAGAAAAAAAAUGCAAGUUAGUUAUACCGUUAGUGUCACUUAGUUCACUGAAUAGGAAUGGUUGUGCUAAUAUUGAUUGAAGAAAUUUUUAUGCCCAUAUUUUGUACUUGAGUGACUAAAGAUAAUGUUGUGUAAUUUAUCAACAGUUGUUAUUUUUUCAUUAUUUUGUUGUGAAAAUUUGUUUUAACCUUUUCUUCUUAAUAUUAACAAAUAAAGUAAUAAAUUUAAUAUUUAAAAAAAACCUAUCAGAAGGCCUCACAGGCCAGGCAAAAGUAUCAUAAUCCUUUCCAGGAGCACAUGAGAGGGUAGUAUGUGCAGCUAUGAGGGCGAAGCAAAAGGUACAAUAGGAACCUCAAGAAUUUAGAGAUUCCAGGAAUGUGGAAUGUGUACUGAGGAUGGCUAUAGCAGUAAGCAGAACUAACCCAAGAGAUUGGCCAUGUGGGGUGCAACCCGCCAAGCCAUAGGAUCAGGGCUGCCCAAGCCCUUGGAAGUCACUUCCCAGCCUGCCUUGGAUACUAGAUGUGCUGGAUUAAAUGUUUGCCCUGCUAACUUUCGAUCUUGCUUUUGUCCAAUUUCUGUUUAUUCCCCUCAAGGGGAAUCAUAUUAUCAGUUGAGAGGAUGUAUCAUUACCACAAAAUUUUGCUGAUGCCAGUGUUUAAAGGAAGAGAAUACAUUUUGUUUAAAUUAGGUACAAUCAUAACUUUGCUAUUACUGCUACUUGGUAUAAAGAUUUUUAUCAACCAAAAUAAAAUUCAAUGAAACAAAACUACGUAGUACCUGGACCACAGUUUUGUUUGUUAGUUUUGAGACAUGGCCUCACUAAGGUGUUCAGGCUGGCCUUGAAUUCCUGGGCUUAAGCAGUUUUCCUGCAUCAGCCUCUAAAAUAGAUGCAUGCCACCGCACUGGGCUGAAUCGAACCUUAGUUUUGAGCCUGUGCUCUUCAUGUAAUAAUACAUUUGAAAAAUGCUUUACUUUGAACCUUAGGAAGAUAAGAAAAAGGGACAGCCUGAAGAAGAAAAGGAAGCUUCCUGCACAGCUGCCACCACAGAGCGUGGAAGUGGAGUAGAGAUCAUGAGGGUGAAGUGGUUUGUUUGCCCACUUCCCUAUGAGUGGUGGUUGGGAAACACUAACCAGCAUUCCCCAAGUAUUUCAUAAUAGAUAAUGCACAACAAAUUGUCUUGUUCCACCAAAAUAUAAUUCAUGUUUCAAGUUGGGAAAUACUCAAAAAAUGUGUCCGAGGGCGAUAAACAGGAGUUAGUGAGGUGUUAACACUUCUGGCCUUUUCACUACUGAACAUUCUGCAGAGUGGACGUGACUGUGUUGGUGCAGUGUGGUUUUCAUGUCAUAAAGAAAUUCAAGGCCCUGGUCGCUGGAGGAAACCAUUUGGCUUCUUCAAGAGACUUUUCAUUACAGACACUUCCUAUUUAUUGUUUCUUCUCUGUGUUCCUAACGUGUCAGGUAACACUUCUAUGAUAAAAUUUCAUUUGCUGUCUUACUGUGAGCAAGUAUUAAUGUAGUUAUUUCUAAUAGUGCAAUGAUGAAGAUUGUCUGAAUAAUAAACAGUGCUAGCUAUAAGGCUAAAGGACCAGAAAGAUGUUACAUACGAAUGAUGACCGAGCUAUUCCGAGCUAUUUUGUUUUAAGGCAAUUUAAAUAAGUUAUUUUUGGUUAAUGACUAUAUCAGCUACCUUCUAGAUAUGUCAGCUGUCCGUGAACUGUAAUUGGAAAUCUCUUGGUAAACCAAAACUUCAUGGUAGUCUACUUAAAUCUUUUAGUGCUAACAGGAAUCUAUAAUUAUAAAAUUUUAUUUUCAGUAAAUAUUUCCACCUCUUCUUAGCUGAGACCAAGAAUAAACACUUGGUAUGUAUAACUGGAUGACUCAAAGAAUGAACUUGGAGUAUUGAUAACAACCAGUCUCUCUCUCUCUCUCUCUCUCUCUCUCUCUCUCUCUCUCUCUCUCUCUCUCUCUCUCUCUGCUCUCUCUCUCUCUCUGCUCUUUUUGAUCACCAUUACAUAGUCAUUUGGAGUAGAGGUGUGUAGCCAGUGUGGAAAAUGCUUUUGGAGGAAGGAGUCACCAAAAGAAAGUGACAUAAGACCAAAAAAAGGGUUUAUUAUAGUUAUUGACAUUGCUAUAAGGGCAAGCCAGUGCUUUGUAAAUACACACCACAUGCAGAUAUUAGGGACGGUGGAAGUCUGAGUCUCCACGUUUACAUGUCCAGUCAUUAGCGUGCAUGCAGUAGAUAGGGCACCAAGUUAGAAACAGGAAGAGGCAGCAGAAGAAGGAUGAGGUUCUGGGCACAGCCCAGAGGACAGAGUGGAGAAGCGUUCCUGCACAGCCUGUUUCUGAGGAAAACAAGUCCAUCUUUCAGUGGCUGAAGUAACUUUUCGUCUGGCUGUAAUAUUCUUCUGGAUGACUCUGUGAAAUCUAUAAAACAAAUUUAAAGAAAACUCUUUUCUGUUUGUGGGACUGUGUAAUCAGCCCAUAUUAAUUAAUGCCAUGCAAUAUAUUACUGAGGAAAAGGAUUAAACACUAGUAUGAAUAAAAAUAGUCUCAUUGUUCUCCCUGGGGUAAAAUUAUAAGGAUUGUCAGUCAUCCUGCUUGGGGGUCUAGUUUGUUAUUGGCUGGUUUGGGAACAAUGGUUUCUAUGUUCCCAUUACAUAAUAGAGCGCCAUUACGUGAAGAGAGGGAUUUUUCCCCUUUUCUCACAUAGUCUGGUGUAAGGAGCUAUAGGAACAAAAAAAGAAAUUACAGUUGUUUGGAUAUUACAUCUAGAAUUCCCAAAGGAAUUAUCACUGUAUCCAUCUCCUAGACAUGAAAUGUUCCUUUCAUUUCCUCUCACCCUUCCUCCUCGCCCACCCCUCUCGGGUAGGUGCUCACAGAUUUGGCUGGAUUUCUCCGAGUCCUCACACACAUUAUCAGGUGUCCCUUUGAUAUGAUGCAUAUUUUCAAAACUUGACAUUGAGAAUAUGCAUCUAUCAGAAACUGAAAUGAGCAUGUUUUAAAGGUUAAAUCAUAGAGGAAAAGAAUCUCUUUUUCCAUCUUGUAAUUCUCUGGAAGGAGACGUGAAGGUGUAAGCAGUUCGCUGUCCUGCGCAGCCUGUUGGAGUCCAGCUGUUUUCCAGUUCUGUUCCCCGAGCAGCAGUGCGUGCCUCUCCAGAGUGCUGGAGCUUUGUACUACUUCUGGUCUAGUGGCACUAGGUGUGUUGGGGCAUAGGCUUCUUUUUUCUUUUAACAGCUGUGUGCUCUUGGCUGGUCUGUAUCUUUUUAUUGGAACAAGAACUACAAGGAGUCUUUCUGGAGGAAGAGGCUGGCCUAUGCCUUACUUGCAUUUUGUUGUUAGGUUCUGAGUACAGGUAAAAUAGAGCCACGUAUUUUUUAAUAGUUUUGACUUAAGUCAGAAAUAUUGGUUGCCAGAAGAAAUUAUUGCACAUUAACACAUAUUAUAUUACUAUUUGAUAAUUUAUUCCUCCCAGUAGUGUUAAUUCAAGCAUUUUUAUGUCAUUAAUGGUAAUGGACCUGCCUAUUUCAUUUUUUUAAAAAAAGGUAGUUUCUGUAUAUUUAGCCAUAAAAACAUUCUUGGAGGAAACAGACUGCCUGUGUGUGUGUGCGCGCUCGCGCAAAUUCCAAGUAAGUGUGGGAAUUUGGGCAAUUAAUGUUGAGAUCUCUCUCAUCUCAGUGGCCUUUUUUCAGGAAAGCCUACCUCAGCCCAAAGAUGUGGUUGCACCUGCGUUCCCUCUGUAAUGCCCAGCACUCUUGUGUUUGCCCACACAGCUCCAUGUGGCUCCAGCUGGGUCACCUUGCCUAUUUGUGGUUUCUCCAGUGUACCCACACACAGGGCUCCACUGUUCAGCUGCACAUCCCAGUGUAGUUGUAAGGAAUCAGUGAGAUGGCUUGGGUAAAGCCCUCAGAAUGGCAACUGACCAGAGGGAGUGAUCGUUUGAUACCAGCUUUUAUUAAAUAUUAGUCAUGUAUUUGUCUCCACUUGGAAAAGACUGGUAUAGUUAAAUUUUGUUAGCUCUUUCUUUCAUUUUUCUCUAGUUACAUUCCUUUCUAUAACUGUGUUUCCAAAGGCAUUUAAUAGUUUAUAAAUUAGCCAUCUUGAUAAUAUGAUAGACUCAUCUUUUUGUUUCAUAGAUGUGUGAGUUUGCAUAUAUAUAAAUGCAUAUGUGUAUGUGUGUACUCGCUGGAUCUUCACCAAAAAUGACUGCAAACACAAGUGUUGACCAGGGUCUGCUAGUCUUAGUAGAGGGAAAGGUGUUCCUAAAACAGCCCCAGUUCCCAGAGGCCCAGUAUCAUUUUGCUGGCAUUGUGACUUCUCUGCUGUCUCUUAUUUUGAACUAGUUCAUUUCAGUAGCUAACUGCAAUCAAAUGAUGGUUUCCAGUAUAACAUAUUUAUAUUGCCAUUUUUUAAAUGAACAGCUAUAAUUAUGUCAGCAUCCUUAACAAGAGUUUUUAGUAGAAAACCUUAAGAAUUUUAAGAUUAAUGAUAAAUAUUGAGUUGUGGUAAUAUCUCAAGCAAUAGUAUUUUAGCAGAUUCCUUUGAUAUGCAGUGAACUAGUUUUUAGAGAAAUAAAAAGUGUGUUCUUACUAAUUUAGCUUUCAAAUUAUAUAAACAAUACAGUCUCAUAGAUAGUGCAGAGACUAUAGAUGAGAAAGCAUUUAAUAUUACAGUUUAAAAAUUAAAAGAAAAAAUGUGCAGCCAUUGUUAAUUGCAUGUCUUAGUCUCUAAAACAGAUGCUGGUCCAUGGUACAUAUGCAGUAAAUGAUUGUUGAAUAAAAAGAUGAAAAAGUAAUAUACUUUGUAGUGGACACCCUGCAGAAGAAAGAGCACAGCUGCUUACAUCUGGGAGAAACUCAUCCGUCAAGUAGUGUAGGUAUAUAUUUGGCAAAAUUAGUUUUAAGUUGUGUAUAUUGUUGUGAUUAUUAAAGGACUACACUAAGAAACCCACUAGGUCAUUGUAGUGUUGGAAAGUAAUUUAUGUCUCGCUGCUUGCUAAGGUCUUAGUAAACAGCACUGAGAUGCUGGUAAGUGGCAUUGAAAUGGCCAGCACAGCCUCCCUUUUGGUAGUGUUGGCCAUAAGUCAAAUACAUUUUUUUUACUACGUGUCUGCAAAUAAACAAAUGUACAUGUUAGAAGUCAGGAAACUAUUAAUAUUUCCCACACAUACAGAUUAUUUGGUAAAAAUUUUAAAAGUGAAUACACUGAACCUUCCACACCUGCACUGCUUCAGUACCUGUGUCAAGAACCUGGCAAGUUGAAGACCACUUGGUUCUCCAAGUGUGAGCUGCUCCUCCUAGGUACCCCAGCUUUAAUCCUCGCGUCCAUGCUUUGGCUUUGCACACUAGCCUUGCUCUCUAGCUCCAUGAAGAGGAGUUAACAAAGGAACAAUUCUGCUUUUGACUCCUCCUUUUGUAGCUUAUAUAUAUUAUUAUCAACUAGUUGCUAGUUGGUUUGUUAUUAUCAACUAGCAACAAGAGAAGGAUUGUCAAAACCAGGAGUGUUAUUAAAAAUGAAACAUUAAAAUAGAUAAUUGAGUAACAGAAGUGAGACAAAUAUAUCCCAACAUUUGCUAUUAUUUCUGUUACUCUGGUUUUUGUUUCUUUUUUUAACAAAAACAACCCAGCCAGGCUUCAAGAGAAGUAAAUAGUGCUUAUAUAAUUUCUGUUAGAGUUUAUUUACAAUUUAAUAUUGCUGAUAGGAUGUGUAUUAAAAAGGAAAUUAAUUACCUCAUUGAUACACAUGUGUGAUAUUUCACUUUAUGGGUCAUAAAGAAUUCUGUAUACUAGUUUAGAAGAACAGCUCGUGCUUAUAACAUUGAAUUUUUGGGAAAAUGCAUUUUGAGUUCCAAAUAAUAAGCUUAGAAAUUCACUUUCAAAACACAGCCCAACUGUUGAGAUACCUUUGAAACAGCUCAAUUGGAAAGCCGAUGAAAGGCUUCUAUUUGGUAUCCUGAUAAAAUAUAGUCUGGAAACAUCUAGUUCCUCCAGCUUAGCUUUUUUUCUAACUAACCCAGAAAGGUCUUAGUUUUCUUUUCAAAUCAACCUGCUGUCUCUUCAGUUGAUGAUAGUUUGGAAUGGAAAUGCCUACUGAGAAACUUUUCCAGGAUCUUUUAGAAUUUCCAAGCAAGAAUUUUUUUGAGGACCAUUUUAAAAAAUAUUAUUUGUAAGUCCACAGAUAAGUUAAGAAUUUUCCACACUGAAGAGUCAUGAUCAGUUCUGAAAGCAUGGCCUAUUUCUGAAUAAUUUCUGAAGGAGUUGUAAACUGCUAUUCAACAUUUUUCUUCAAUGUUCCUUUCGGUAGGUAUUAAUCUUUGGGGAAAUCUGUCAGACGUUUUCUAGCUGAGAAAAAAUAAAGGUCAAAGAUUUACUUUCUAAAAGAAUUUUUUAAGUUUGGUUACUUUGGAUGUGAAAAAAAAUGCCCCCCAUGGAUUGUGGCAUGAGAAACUUCAUUUGUUAGGUGUUCAUGAAAUGUUUUAUGACCACUGAUUUUUUAAAUAUCCUCAAUUUGUUGAAGAAUAAGCAAAACCUCAAGGUGUGACUUUCCUACUUCAGUCUUUUGGGUGAAAACAACACACUCAAAGCCAAGGGGAUUAUAGUGGAAUAUUCAGGCGUUUGCUACUGUGAUUAUAAGUUGGUCCUGUAUAAAAUCUUUGUGCAGUAUUUCACGAGUGGUGUGCUGUGUUUGAAUACAAAAUAUCAAAACUUGCUGGUUACUCGUUUUUUCAUUUUCAUUUUCACGGUGCCAAUGUUACUAAGUAUUAAUAUUGUCAGUAUUACUAAAAGUGAGUUUUACCGAAGUAAGUAGUGAAUGGGUUUACCUGUCUUGCCUUCUGCUUCUCCCCACCCCUUCUUUUCCUUUUCCUCCUCUUUCCCCUUGUCUUGUGACCCAAGGCUCGUGCACACUGAGCAGGUACUUUACCACAGAGCCGCACCCUAGCUCCUCACCUCACUGGCCGUGUCCUUUUCAUGUGUGUCCCACAGAUUGUCUCCAGCCCGUGACUGAGUUUCUUGUAGAGACAGAAACGUUGCCCCCUCUUUGAUGGUUAAUAUUCAUUGUUGCUUAAUAUUCUAGUGCAGCGGUGAACUUUUACACAGGUAAUGGGAAAAUGCAGUUUAUGUGGUAUGAGGUAGGACUUGUCACAUGGAGGUGACUUGCAGAGAAACAGUUUCUGAUGAGUUCUAGAGAAGAAAACGGUUGCUCUGAGCAGCAGUUGGGGGAGUAUUGUGCUGAAAACAGCCGCAGGUGAGGUUUGUGCAGGCUGCAGGCACAGGCCAGCUGCACGAUGUUGCUCAGAUGGCUGUGCUCCCCUGGGUGUUUGGAAUUGCCUUCUGAGGAGGAUUUUAUGAGCUGUGCCUUGGUUCUUCUUUACAGUUUGGUUAUAUCUUUCAGAUUGAUAAUUUUCCAAAGCAGCCUUCCUAAAUCAGUUUCUUACUGCUGCAUAAAAAACUGUUCUUUCUUUUGGUGAAAAAGAGGCUUUGAAAGGUUGUGGUUUCACUUCGGAGUAUUGUAGGUAGGUCUGCUCCUGCAUGGUGUUUACUUGGCCCCCUGAAAAACGGUGGUUGAUCAGCAGGAAGUUGUAUUUUAAAGCUAUUAUACCUUACAGCAGUUUUCACAUGUUUAUUUUUAAAUUCAUGGUGAAAAUGUGUGUAUUAUAUUCUGUGCUUCUCUAUGUACCCCGAGUAAGAGGGUUACUAAGAAACAAGGGGAGUAAUGAAAGUAGCAUAGCACAGAAUCGGACUCUCGGAAUUUGGGGGGAAUAAAUAAAUGUGUUCAGUGGGUAGUUGUUUUCUUGAAGAUACUCUUUUGGUUUUUUGAGGUGGGGUCUUGCUGUGUAGUUCAGCCUGGCCUUUAGCUUACUAUGUAGUUCAGGCCAGCCUAGAAUUCAUGGCGAUCCUCUUGCCUCAGCCUCCUGAAGAAUUACAGGCAAAAUACCACCACACUCAGCUAUUGAAGAUAUAUAAUCAACUUUUUUUAAUUUUAAAGAGAAAAAAAUCAAGAACAAGCAAACAAAAAACAAGUAAAAAGAUGACAGCAACAAAAAACAAUAGUGAUACAGGAUUCCAAAUCAACAUGAUAGGAAUUUAACAACAUUGCAUAAUAUUACCUUCAAAAUAGUUGCUCAGGUUACCAGAUACAGGCCUGCAACAUUGAUCAAACAAUAUCAUUUCCCUUUGAGCAGUUUCCUUCCCUUUUACUAUAUCUUUUGUAACUUUUGGAUCUUAUUUACUCUUUCAGUUUCUUACACUAUGAGACAAUAUGGUGUUUACACGUGCAAGUCUGAUUUAUUUCACUUAUAAGUAUGGUUUCUAGUUGCAUCCAUUUACCUAUAAAAGCCAUGAGUUUAUCAUUCUUUAUGACUAAAUAAUAUUCCAUUGUACAAAAGUAUUGCAUUUUUUUUUAUCUAUUCCUAAUUUGAUGGGCAUUAACCAACCUUUAUUUGGUCAAACUUAUUAGAAAUCUAUCUCAAAUAUUUUACAGGUUGUUAUAUGUUUCUAUACUCUUUCUGGAAAGUGGUAUAGAUGUAGUUAUCAGAAUUUAAAAUAUAUAGCUUUUGACUCCACAAGCCUACUUUUGAUAACUCAUCCUACAGAAAUGAAGCACUAGUUAGUGUAAGUAAAGGGGAGUGUGUUUUUUAUAUAUAUAUAUAUAUAUAUAUACAUAUAUAUAUAUAUAUAUACACGUGUAUAUUUAUUGCCUUAUUGCAUGUAGUAUCAAAGCAUUGGAAUCACUGUGAAUGACUUUCAGUAGUUAAAUGGCCAAAUAAAUUAGUGUGUUUAUACCCUGGAAUGAUUAAAACUGAAUUAGACCAGUUGAAUAGGAAGGAGGCUUGUGUGUGUGUCAUACAAUUUCAAAUUUUUACAACGUUUCUUUGUUGCUUUCAUUGUCAUAUGUACCAGCCAGGCUGUCUGUGAGGUCGGAGAGUGGCAAGCAGAUUAGGGGAAAAAGUAAGAUGGUAAAAACAGACAUUGUAGAGCCAGCAUUUUUAUGUAAAGGUAUAUAUUUUGUAUAUUUGUAUAUGAAUGUACCAAGUCUAUGCAUAAACACAUAAAUGUAAAAAUGAUCAGAAUGUUAAGUGAUUUCAUAGGUAUUGUGAUUAUAGCAAUGUUUUAUAAAUUUUCCCCAUGUGAAUUUCUAAGAAUCUUAUUUGUAUAAUGUGAAAGAAAAAACUUCAUGGAGGAGGGCAAAAACACAAUUAUGUCUAAUUUUCAAUAUUGUGUUGUUAGAAUUCUGAUAUAAACCUCAAAUAUGAACCUGUGUACCAAUACAGAAUUGACUUUACAAAUGUAGUAUGCUUCAAGACCUAGAAAAUGGCUGUGGCCGUGUGGUAGUAGUUUGCAUUUAAAUAAUAAGAUUAACGGUUUCUUUUGUGAUUACUUAACAACAUUACUUAUUAGUAUUGAAAGAGUAAGAUAGCUCAGAACUGUUGAGGUUUUUGUCUGUAAGCAAACCAAAAAUAUGAAUAUUUAGCUGUAUAAAAAUGAAAAUUUACUAUGGUGCCUACCAUAAGUAAAAACUUCUAAAAAUGGUGAAAAUUGCCAACAUAAAGAUUCUGUUGUAUAUUUGAUCAACAAGAAAAGACAGUUCUGUAGAAAAUGAGUAAAGAAACAGGACAUGACAUGACCAGGGGAAAAAAAGCACAGAUAAAUAUAAAUAGCCAGUAUGAACAGCAGUAAUGAAUAUAAAUUAAAACACCUGUUAAUCAGGCUGAUGAAAUCAGAACAGCAGCUGGGAAUACAUGGACCUCAAAAUACAGUGCACAUUCUUUAUCCUUAUUUCUGCUUUUCUAGGAGUUUAUCUUGAUUUAACUAAUUAGAAACAUCUUUGUAAAAGUGUGUAUAUAGUGAUGUUUUAUCAUGAAAUUCUUUAUAAUGACCAAAGUGAAGGAAAACUAAGUAAAUAAUGAUAAUAGCAAAUUAACACAUAUUUAUAUAAUUCAGCCCUAUGUAAUUAUAAAUCAUGAUACAAUUGUGUAUUUGUAAGAAAAUUAGUGAAAAAUUCCAAUAAUAUGUAAAGAAUAGAUUCCAUUUCUGUAGAAAUAAAUUGUAGAGCAUUGCACAAAUAAACGUCUAAAGAGACUAUAUAUCAAACAUUUAUGUUGACUAUCCCAAAAUGUGGAAUGAUUUUUCUUUCCUUUUCUGAGCAUUGUUUUAGCAUUCUAGUAGAAAUCACAGACUCUAAUGAAAUGUGCUAAUAUACAAAUAUGCUUCUUGUUUUAUAAAUAUGUCAUUUUUUCACUUUCUAUUGUGAAAGUGUAUUUUAUAAUUAGAAAAAUUCACUUUGGUUACGUGAUACAUUAAGGAAAAACUAAUAAACAAACAAUAAUUACAUGGAGCUGAGUGUGGUAGUGCACAUCUGUAAUCCCAGAUACUUGGGAAGCUAAAGCAAGAGGUUCAAAAAUUCAAGGAAGCUUGCCUGGGAUACACAGCAACUUAAAGAGACCCUUUCUCAAUAAAAUUAAAAGAAAAAAACAGAAGGCUAGGGAAAUAACUCUGAUAGAACGCUUCCCUCGCAUGUACAUGUCCUGGAUUCAAACCCUAGAACUGAAAAGAAAAACACAAACAAAAACCACAUGGAAGCCAGGCAAGGUGACAGACAUCUGCAGAUCCCAGCUAUUCAGAAGGCUGAGGCAGGAGGAUUACAAGUUCAGUCCUAGCCUGGACAAUUUAACAAGACCUUGUCUCCCAGUGAAAAUUUAAAAAGGGCUGGAGAUUUAGCUCAGGUGGUAGAGCACUUUGGUUCAGUUUUCAAUUCUGAAGGUGAAACAAUAAAAUAAAACACACACAUGGAAAUUAUACAUAAAAGAGUUCUUCUGUGUUAAGAGGGGAAGAGGGAGAGCAAGGUGCUGAACAUUUGUUAGGCACUAAUUAUGUGCCAGACUUGCACGUACAUUAUUUCAACCUAGCAUUUAUUUACUAAUUUAGCAAAAAUACAUUGAGUGUACGGUGUUAUGGUGAGAAUAAAACGACACCUUUACAGACAAGGAAAUGGUCUGUGAAAUCUGUCCGAAAUUAACAGCGAGGCCAGUGGAAAGCCAGUGGAUUUAAAUCCACUUAGAAUUGUGAGGAUCCUCUCAGUGUAGCACUGCUAUGAAACUCAAAUGGCUGAUCUAACAGUGGUCACCAGGCUGUCAGUAGGAAGAGCAGAAUCCAAAAGAUUAUGCAUCCUAGUUCCAGAAGUCCAGAGGGUGGGAGUUCAUCGGUGCCUCCCAUGGCUGAUUCCACACCAACACACCCAGGAUGACGCAGAACUUGCCUGGGGACUGCAUUGCUCAUCUCUAGCCUAAGCAGAUGGUGUCUCCCUUCCAAAGCAGGCUUGGCGUUCCCUGGCUCCUGCUAGCUUGGUCGGGUGUGUUCUCUCCAGUUCUUUGAGUCCCUGUGAGUUUUUAAGCUGUGCCAGUGGUCGUCUAACUAAAGGCUCCUUUUAUAGUGCUUGAUUUCACAUCUUCUGUGAGAUUCAAGGUAGCUUAAGAGUGUUUUUCUGUCAGUAGAACAGUGGUGUUCCCUGCAUAUUAAAGGGCAGCGCUGAACACAGAAGGCUGGAACUCCUCGUUACAUGCAAAACAUUUUCAGUGGAAUCACUUGGCACCCACAGAAACAUCAGAUGGAGAUUUGGAAGCCUCACAGCACUACAUUUCAGAAACGUUAUUAAACAUUCAGCAAAAUCUUCCUGAAACACUGAGCCCAAACCAGAGAGGAAACUUUUCUCAUCUUGCAAAAAGGUGCUUGGUUCUUUGAAUUCUGCUGAGGAAUGGGGCAAAGAGAAUUUGAAUUGUAGGGAGACAAAUAGAUGCAUGUGGUCCAGUAGAGGAAUGGAGGCCUGUAUUAAAAAUAGAAAUUGUUGGACUUAAAAAUGUGGUUAGUGGGACAGGAAAGUGGGCGCAUGGUGAGAUUAGUGAUGCAGAAUCCAGUACUGAAGGCGGCCAGGGCUCCCCUUCUGCUUUCUGCAGUGUAUGUGUGUGUAUUUAAAUUUCCUUCUUGUCAUUCUUUCCACCCAGCUUCUGAGUUGGUUUUCUAAUAAAUGGCCAAGACUGUCAUUUCAAUGAGGUAUCUCACAGAUUGUGAGAUUCAUGUUGGUGUCUAAUUUCAGAGGAUGCUUUCCUUGUCACCUUUCCUGUCCCCAUUUUUCAGUAUUUGUCUUUCCUCACGGAGACUUGUGUUCUAAUUUUCACCAUCUUCUCAUUGAUCUUUCAUCUUAGGAUCUGCAUCCGGUAUCUUAAUUCCUGAAAGUAAUAUAUGUACUGAUUUAUUCAUUCAAGUAUCAUGUUUGGUACUUUAUGCCACAUUAUCUAAGGAACAUAAAGCAAUGAAAUGCAAACUUCUUGUCCUCACAGAGCUUACAGUUUAAUUGGAAAGUAGACCCGUGCUGAGGCCACACUGUUAGGCCGAGGUACGCAGAAAGUAUGGAGAGGCAGUGGACUCUUGUGUGGUGGAUGCGUCCCAGGGAGCACUUGAGAAAGGAGAACGGCUGGGAGGGUCUGGUGGCAAGGGGUGGCCUGGGGACCCAUGGCUGCAGUCCAGCGAGGGUUGCUGUGUGUGCAUUUCUUCCCCAUGCCACCCCUCAAACACUGCCCUUUUUUCUCCUUUAUAUUCUGUCCUUAAGAAAUGUCCCUCUCCCAGUCUGUACACCUUUCCUUCACCUUCAAACUCGGCUUGCCACAGUGCCUCUCUUUUGAGCAUUCUGAAUUGACUCUGCCUGGUUCUGUGGCUUGAGUUCAGAACUAAAGGACACUUUUGUCUUUGUCUCUUAUUUAAAGAAAAAAUGGGUAAGUGUAGCCUAAAAUACACUGUCUGAAUUAAAAACAAGAGUGAUUUGGAGGAUAAAUACAUAUGCUUUGCAGAAAACUUCCUCAUUACUGAUUUUUAGAAGGUUGCAGAUAUAGUAAUGAUUUUUCCAUGUUGCUGUUUACAACUGUAAGGAUGAAGAAGUGGUCUGUUAAACACUGAACUCUGACAGUGUAGGUUAACGAAGGGGUUCAGGUUCUACGACACUUUUUAGAAACCAACGUUAUUUUUCUGAGCCAUUUUAGGUUCACCACAAAAUAAAUCAGAAGAAGAGUUCCUGUAUAUCUCCAGUCCCCACACAACGAUAACCUGUUGCUAUUCCAAACCACAGUGACACUUUGUUACAAUCAAAUCUACAGUGAUACAUCAUCAUUACCCAGAGUACAUACUUGACACAAGGUCACUCGAUGUUGAAUAUUCUAUGGGCUUGGACAAAUGUAUGAUAGACAUCCGCCUGUAGAAAUAUGUAAUUUAGGAUAUCCACCAUUGAAACAGUAGUAUAUAGUAGUAGUAGUAUCAUGUAGUUUUUUUUUUUUUUUUAACUUUAAAAAUGUCCUGUAGCUUUGUUACAAGGUGUAUGAAAGUAUUUAUUGAUGUCAGGAGUUGGGAGGGAAAUUCGACCGAUUAUCGAAACGUAAACAGUGCUAAAUUAAGGUAACAUUCUUGGAUGUUACUAGCAAGGUGUUGGUUUAUAAAUCUCCUCACCUUUCAGGAGCAUCUCUUUUGUGUACAAUGAGAGAAGCUGUUACUUGGUAUUUGCUUAAUGGGCCUGUGUGUUGUAAGGCUCGUUCAGGACCUUUCCUCCGAUUUCCUAUCUACCUUUCAAAAACAGAAAAUUCAGGAUCCGUGCAACAUCUUUUGAGCACUGACUGUGCCACACACUGCACUACAUGCUGGAGAUGUAUGUGUGAGGUGUAUGUGUGAGACACGUGAGUGUCUCCAGGACCUCAGGUCUGGCAAGACGAGCAGUACAGGAAGGGGGUGUGCCCUUAGAGAACACGGUGUCUGUGAGUUGCAGCCACCAGGCACUGAAAAUUGUGCUGAGGGGGGGCAGCGGUGUGGGGCAGCCAGACAAACUUUGUAAGACUCGUGACUCUAGGCUAAUCUGAGGUGACCUGCUAUUUAACAGCAGUGAUAAUACCUAGUUCGUCUGCCUUAAUGGCGCUUGAACCGUUGUGUGGUUAACAGGGCAUGUGUUUGGGGGUGAUAUGUGGUUGAAUAGAGAAAAAAGAAAGUCAUUGGAGACCUGGGAAAGCUAGAUUUCUCAUGUGGAAUCCAGCUGUUAGAACCAAAAGGAGCCAGCACCCCUCCUGCCCACCCCCUCCACGUUGUGAGGGAGCCUCUAGGUUUCUUAGAUUCUGGUUGGAUACAUUACACAGCAGCACACCUGCCCCUGGAAGCUUGGAGAGGCUCAGAAACUUGCUUAGGGCUUUUUAUCAAAGCAUGUGAAAAGCUCUGGGCUUUGCUUUUCAGUAUUUGUGGGAUUAAGUUUGACUUUGUGCUCUCAAAUAAGGUAUUUACCUUUUCUGAACUCAAUUUUGUCUUCUUUAAAAUGGAAAUAAAGAACAGAAGACUUUAGCUCAGUGGCAUAAGCACCUGCCUGACAAGCAUGAGGUUGUGAGUUUGAUCACUGGUACAAAAAAAAAGGAAAUAAAUAAGCUGGGUGUGGUGGCGUGUGCCUGUAAUCCCAGCACUCUGGAAGGCUGAGGCAGGAGAAUCUCACAUUCAAACCCAGUCUAAGCAACUGAGACUCUGUUUCAAAAAAAGGGCUGAGGAUAUAGCUCAGUAUGAAAGCCCUAAGUGUAAUCUUCUGAACCACAAUAAACAAACAAAUAAAAAGUAAAAAUCUAUAUCUAAUGGAAUCAUUCUGCAGAUCUUAUUGGACAGUAUGUAAAAUGCCUGUGAUGUUAUUGGACUUGGAAUAACUACAUCAUGUUACUUAAAAAGGAGACAGGCUCUUAAAUUGUAGUUCUUAAAUUCAUAGUUUCCUUAUAUUUUGAUCUUUUCAUAGUUUUAAUCUAUUUUUCUCCAUCAGUGGAACAAAAUGUAUUUUGAAUGUUUUUCAGAUUCCUGUAUAUACAUAAAACAUUUACAAACCAUGGUUGGUUUCUCCAUCAGGCCUUCAGCUCAGAUGUUUAGAGAGUGGGGCAGGGGAUUAGGGUGUGGCGGACUGUAGGGGAAGUGGGCAUGGCCUGUUUAUUACAAAACCAGGAUGCUGGAGCAGAGCAGUUCUAGAUCCCAUCCCAAAGCUGUGUGUACUUUUCCCUGAGAACCUGAGCAAGUUUUCCACAGGACAGCACCGAGCUGACACCAUCUUGGGGAGGAAAAAUGCUAACGAUGAGGAACCCUUGUUCCUUCAUGGUGGCCUGCUCUCAGCUGUACAGUACUUGUUUUUUUGCUCAGACUUGCUCUGCAGUCCUUGUUUCUUCUCCUACCUUUAGUAAGUAUAAACCUUGCUACCAUUUGCGCUUGUCUUGACCAAUUCUUUGCUCAAGACAGAACCUAGAAACCACCUCUAAAAGGAGACUGUAGUAUGCACCACAAAACCCUGUAACAAGGUGGUAUUUUGUACACUAUUUCAAUUCUUUCAGGAAUAGCCUCAUUAUCCAGGUAUCUCUUCUGUCUCAGUUUAUUUCACAUCCAACACUUUCAGUUGCUUUUUGUAACUAUUAUAUUUUCUUUGGGGAGAGACAGUACUGGAAAUCGAACUCAGGACCGUGCACUUCCCAACCAGGCACUUGAGCCGCUGAGCUACAUCUCCUUUCCUAUAUUUUCUAAUUAGCAAAAUUUUUCGAAAAUGAUUUAUACUGUGGCAUGACAUUUUGCUACCACAUAUUCAAAAUAGAGUAAGCCUUCAAACAUGUAAUUCUGAGAUCAACAAAGGAAGUUUUUAGAAACCAUUUUUUUCUGUGGGCUGAGUAACGUACUUGUGCAUUUUAUUCAUAGCUGAUUGCUUAGAAAACAAUUACAUGUUUCUUGUCUUGUCUGUACUUCUGGCACCACGUGUUUCUAUAGCAGUGACCUUAGUCGAGAUUGUAGCCCCCAAAAUAGGUCUCUCUCUCUUUUUUUUUUUUUUGGUAUCGAGAAUUGAAUUCACAACCACACGCUUGCAAGGCAGGCACUUAUGCCGCUGAACUAAAUCACCGGCCUUGUAUAGGUCUCAUUUUCUAAGCACAGCUGAAAAAUGAUUUUCAGUAUCAUUGAUCAACCCCCCCCCUGUAAGUUAGUACAAGUUGUACCUCAUUCUAAAAACCAUUAAUGCUGAUAUUAGAUAGUCUUUCCAUCCACUGUCUCUUAUUCUGUGCCUGGGAAGAUGAGUGUUAGUUUUCCAAAGUGAGCAAGCAAGCUGGGCUGCCUGUCUUUCCAAGAAUGCUGCCUGUUUGAGAACACUCUCCCAAAUUCACACUAUGACAUCAGAUCCUUGUUUUCUUUGGUGGGGCAUUUUUUUUCCUAUUAUUACUUAUUUGAGACAAGGUCUGGCUGUGUUGCUCACUCUGGUCUUGAACCUAUGGGCUCCAUCAAUCAUCCUGCCUCAGCCUUUCAGUGGACUGUAGGCAUGGCCACCACACCUAGGCAUUUUUUUUUUAAAGAAAACAAUUAUAUUAUGGAUAAAGUCACCAAUGUUUACCGAUGUGUAAUCAGAAUGGGUUUUAGCUCAUAUUUUUUUCUUGGCAAAAUAAUUUGUAUUUUUCUUUCCUUUGGACUAGGAAAAUUAAAGGCAUCCUAUAUGAGGUCCUUCAGGUGAAGAGAAAUAUCUGGAAUUUCUCGUGUAGGAAUUGUUAUAGACCCAAAAAAAUACACGCUAAAAUUGACAGGGUUCUUUCAAAGACAAAUGUUAGUCCCUUGAAAGACAGAGGUGCUGAUGGAAGACUGGUGCUUUGAAAACCAUGCAUUGCCCUAAGUGACGACUCCCAGCCGUUUUCUGUGGAUGGUGGGAGUGGAUGCAUCCUGUUGCAACAGUGGGAAGUGCUGCUUUGACGACUGAGAAGUGGUUGAUGCUUUUGUGGGUAUUUUGUUCAAUUGGAGGCCUGAGUUCUGCCAAGUGACAAACUGAUGUUUGGUGCAUCAGUAUCAGGGGUUAGGACAGAGCAAAAUGAAAUAGCACUCUGGACCCAAGGUGCACAUACAGUGUUGAACACUGUUUUUGGUACUGAUACAAACCAGGGGACAUCUGGUCAAGCUCAGAGAGUUGAAAGACUAAUUGGCAAAUCAUCUAGGACUCAGCUUUUAAAACUAAUUUUGCAGACUGGCUUAAUCAGAAAAAGAACCUACUGACCAACGUGUUAAAAAAGCCAGGUGCACCACUCUCUAGAGGCUCUCACAGUUUGCCAUGGUUGCUUCUUGUUUUUUCUUUGUGUUUGUCCUACCUUCAUCCCUGCAGUGACAAGACAACUCAACAGUCCCGGCCUGACUUAUGUUCAGCAGUGAGUCCAGCAAGACACAGCUCUUUCCAGAGUCGUGUGAAUAAAAGUCAUGGGCCUGACUAUUGCUUGGUUCUUGUGCCUAUCUUGGGAUCAGCUGACAUGUUCCAACAAACAGGAAGUACUUAUUACCUAGGCACAGUCCAUGAUCCACUCCUGGAGCUGGCUGGAAAUCAGGGAGGGGCACAGUAGAGGUGAGCACAUGGGAAAUAGUUACGAGAAGUCAUGGAGUAGACACAGAGCAUCAGGAACAGCUGAGCUCCAUCAUUGCAGUCAGGACUGAUCCAAGAGGAAAAAUAAAAUGACACAAAAUAACAAUAUCUAUAUAUAUAACAUGUCAUUACAUGUGCUGUAGGUUUUGAGAGGAGGCCAUGAGCGAGGACUGGAGUCAUUGAGACUGUAAAUCUUGGUAGAGCAGAUGGUUAUCGAUUUGGCCUUUGAAGAGGGUUAUGGUUCUUGGUUUGGCUUUCCCUGAAGCUGAUGAGGAAAUGCCUGGUGCCAGAACUAAUGAUGUCCCCCCAGCCUGUGUUCCUCUAGUAGAACAGUGCAGCACUACAUAACAGACCUAGCCCUCAAGGCUGACACAGGAAUCCAGACACUAAGCUUUUGGCUUACAGAAAGAACCCACAUUCUAUUCUGAAAAGCUGGAGAGUUAUCCAACAACAGUACAUAAAUAAGUAAGUGGCAUAUAGUACAAAUGCAUGUGGAAAUGGUUUCUAACCAUCAAGUCGUGUUUACAUUUCAGUAAACAGUUACUGAGCAGCUGCUCAUUGAAAUACUUUAGAUGUUUUAAAUGAGAUAAACUAAGCUAUGAGAUUGUUUAUAGCAUGAACUCAGCCAUCUGUAGAUGACUUAGAACACAAAAGCCUUAAAGAAAAUACAUCAAAAAGAUAUGUGGUUGCCUCUGUUCUUUAUACUUACCUGUAUUUUCAAAACCAAAGAAAGCUGCACAGCUAUGAACUGGCUAAAUCAAGAGAUUGCGUUUGAAACAUGAGGCACCAGGCUUCUGUAGGAAUGGGACGUCAAGUGCCACCAUUCUGGACGUCAAGGCAGUAGUCCCAGGGGCCUUGAGCUCCCAACAAGACCGUGUCCAUGUCUGCACAGAUGGGAGCAGGGCAAGUUCUGCUGGUGUGGAAACUUACCUGUCCUUCCAGGUCACCAGAAGUCUGCCUCCUCGGCGUGGGUCUAGUCGUUGCUUUCCACCUGGAGGUUCCUCAGACCAUCUUUCCUUGGCCGUCGUGUACACCUUCCUGUCCGCCUCUCCCCUCUAGUGAGACACUGGCUCCUGAGCCCAUUCCUUUCUCUACUGUAUUUGCUUUUGGCAAAACCUCAGGCCCCUUUCUGCCAGAGCCCGACUUCUUCAUUGACCUUCUCUAACUUGAAAUUACACCAGGAUCACCUUUCGUAGUUUGCAGCGCACUCUUUCAUAUCUCACUCAGUACCUUGUGAUACAGCUGGAUGACAUCAUAGUCCCUAUUUAAAAGUGGGAAGAGAAAGUUCAAAGCUUUUAACGUGCCCAGAAGUUGGAAACUCAGGUCUGCUCACUCUGGAUUCACUUUGCUUUCUGUGGCCUCAGUGAUGCUUCACCCCUGAGAUUGCACAGCCAGAAUCAACAGGAGUAUCUGAUCUUUCACUGAGAAUCACUUACACCUGCUCACUUAUUUCUUAAGUCUUGCCUGUCUUUAGCUAAGGGCUGUGUGGCACAGCCUGUAAGACUAGCAGUGAGGAUGGCUGAGGUGGGAGGACUGCAAGUUCGAGCCCAGGCUGAGCACUUAGCAAGACCCUGUCUUAAGAUGUAAAAAAAUAAUAGGGGAUGGACAUGUAGCUCAGCAGUAGAGUGCUCCUGCUUCCGUCCCCAGUAUAGUUUCCCCGCCAAACAAAGACUUCAGCCAUCUGAAUACAACUUUUCAGGGUCAAUUCAACUACACAUUUCAAGUUCCUUAGCUUCCUUCCCUCCUGUAGCUUUUUUUUUUUUUAAUGCUGAAGUGUAAGCCCAAUACCUUUCACAGAUGUCAUCAUUAGUAGGAUUCUGUAAUUUUAAGUGUUUUAUACUUUAUGAUUGAAACAUUAGUCUGAUCAGUAUCUAAGUUUGGCACGUUUCUUUCUCCUUAUACAAUAAAUUCUCAGAAAGUGACAGGUGUGUUUUCUAUUUUUAGGAAUCUAUUUUUCUUCUAAGGAGAAGUUCAAUAAGUGCAGAGAGACUGACCAGCCAACCCCAAGGAAAUAAACUAAUCCUUCCUUGAGGCACAUUUUCAUAGCAUUUCUGGAAAUAAUUAUGAGAUUAAAUUUUCCUGAAAAUUACUGAAACAUCUGUUUCUUCAAAAUUAAAUUGGAAAUAUUAAUGCCUUGGACAUCCUUAUCCCGCAAAAUCAUUUACCAUUCCGGGACCCUCAGCUGCGGGACUUCCUUUCCUCGAGGUUGUGCUUCAUAGCUGCACUCCCCAGGAAGCUUCUGUUUGCACAGUGCAUGGUCACUUCAGACCAGCAGCUGCCGGCCGCUUUGUUGCCAGCGUUUCCAAGUGCAGACCUUUACCAGAAUCUUCCCUCCUCUGAAGAGUGUGUGUGAACUGAGUGGUGGUGUAAGACUGCAGUCCCAGCUACGCCAGAGACUGAGGCAAAAGGGUCAGCUGGAGCCCAGUAACCAGGCAGCAUAGGACAAGAUUACCCAGCAGUCCUUUAGCCUAUCAGAUUACCCAGACUGCAGGGCAGGAACUGCCUCUCUCUUCCUAUGUAUCUCAGACCCCAGCACUCCCAGUGGGCAUCAGGAAUUGUAUCUUCAAGAAAAAGUAAGAUAGGAAAUAAAGUAUCCAUCGUUGCUAAGAGUUCACCAUGAAACUGGCCCUUGCAGAGAGGACAACAGGAUUAGAGGUUUAGAGGAAAUGUUUUUAUCACUGGCCCAGGAACUUAGGUAGGCCCUAUCCUGACUCGUACAAGGAAGGAAGCGCUUUGCUUUGCACUGGGAAAUGUUCUGCCUCUGUCCUUCCCUACUCCCACCCCAGCCCAGCUGAGGUAAGAGGAGGGCUUUUCCUGCUUUCCAUACAUUCUUCCUUAUCUGCUCUUGGAAACUGUUUUCCUCCUCAGAGUUGUCCUUGAAGCGCCCUGAACGUAAUUUACAGUGCUAGUGCACCCCUGGGACCACCCUUUCUGGAAAGCACUCUUAAAGCAGUACCAAAGUAGAACAAAAAACAGCCUUUCUAAUUGGGAAUUAUUUCUAUAAUGUUCAUUGGAUAAAUACAUAAUCAUUACCCAUUGCCUUAGGCUGCCCAUGUGCAUGAUAACCUGUGUUGUAAGACUGAACUUUACCAUACAGUGGUAGAUUUUUUUUUUCACUUUUUCCGAAUUACACAUUUGGCUCUUUUAAAAACAAAUGUUACCUUCGGCCCAUAAAAUCAUAUGCUUGCGCUUCUGGUUUCAGUUGUUUCUCAGUUGCAUUUUAACCACAGUGUUGGUCACUGUGAAGACGCUGCUUUGCAGAGUCAUCCCUGCAGUUUCACAGCACAGUGCUCACUGUAGGACAGUGAAGAUGGUGUGUGCAGCUUGUGAAUUCAUGUGUAUUAAUGAGCAGUUAUUCAACACUUAUGGUAACUUUAUAAUCAGACUUAAGUGAGAGAAAAUGGAAUCUACUGUUGCUGCUUUCAGUGAGGAUUAAGUGUAUUCAUUGGUAUUAAUAGUGGCUCCACAAAUCUUGGACAGGCUGAGGAAGUGGCUAGAGGGUGAGGGCUUGGGAUGAUCUGUCCUGAUCUCUCUGGCUCUGGUCACUAGUUUGGGAACUGUAUCUUUUAGCCCCUCUGCCUGAGCGCACUCUGGCCCCACAGGAUCCCCAUCCAGGGCACACAGACAUUGUUGUUACUCACCUCACUUGAGUAACAGCAGUGGCAAUGAUGUGAGGCUGCAAAGGACAGAUACACAAAGUUGAUAAAUAAUAACAAGGGGCCCUAACUCACACUGGAUGUGAGUGGUAUACGAAAGGCUCCUGAGGACAAAGCCAAGGCCAAGGCCAGGCUGGAAGGUGUGUCACCUGAAGAGGAGCAGUGUGGGCUGGAGAGAGAGGGGAGCCACGUGGGAGCCCUGAGGCUCACUGAGAGGACAGAGCAACCCAGGACAAAUUAGUGGGACAAGGGCUGUGUGCGGAUCACCUAGGGAUUUUUCCUAAUGGCACUAUUAAGUCGUUUUUUUGAGUUUAGGCAUAAGCAAAUAGCCAUUUGUAAAACGUUUGUAUUUUAAACAGCAUCUACAGUUUGGAGAAGAGGGAAGAGAAAACUGUCUGAUUUAUCAGGGGUCAUUUUUGCUGUUGAAAAUAGCCCAUUUAUAGGAAAUGUAGAGGUUGAUUCAUGUAUCCAGAACUGUCAGAGGCUAGGCCACAGCCAGAAAAAUUAAUCUAAAAUGAAGAGUGACUAUAUUUUAAUAUUAUGAAGUGUCUUUAUGUACCAUAAGUGACAUAUAAUGAAAGGAUAUACAUUUGAGGCCAGGGAUCCAGUUUAUUUGUGUGAGAUUGUGCUAAAAUCUGCCUUUGUAUAUAUACAGCACUGUAGUAUGCUCUGAUGUUUCACAACAAGGCGUGUAACAGGGCAUCUAUUCCUCUGUCCAGUUUAUAGCUCAAACAAGCUAAGAAACAUUGACAUGACAGCAAAACACACCCACUCAUAAAUUCCUUCCUUGUAAGUGGGUGGGUUCUGGGUUUAAUCAUAAAGUCCUCAAGGGAAGGGAAAAAGAUAAAGCAUGUCUAGAUAAGACUGGAGACUGCUACGUGGUGUUCAGAGGACCUUUUGUAAUGGGAGAGGAGGAGAAGGGGAUGCCAGUGGCCAUAAGGGAACCAAGAAAGAUAACCAAGGUUAGUAAAUGAGUCUACUUAGGCAAUUUUCGCUGGGCUGAACCUUUCCUCUGGGCCACUUAAGUUACAAGGAGGUAAUGGUGUCUUCCUCCUAUAGAGUUUGUCUGUUAAAUAGCUGCCUAAGCUAUUUCUGGUGUUACCAUUCAUGUUGCAGGCACACAUCUCCAAGGCUAUGGUGAUACAGAGCAUAUGACUCAGGGAUAAUAUAGGAACUCCAAAUAACCCAAAGAAGAGAAAAGAAACACAACUCCCAACCUGUUAGACAUCUAAUACACCGAGUUCAUGUUCUCUUAAAAUUGAAGAAUGAAUUCUAGAAACAAUAGAAGUUAAAGAGUAGGAAGUAUUUAUUGAAAGAUACCUUCUAAGAGAGACAGAAAAGCAUUCCAAGUGGGUGACUCCAGGGAACCCACUUCUCAAGCGAGCUUUAGAGAACAAAACCACAAGGUUUAUAAGGUGGGACAAAACUAUAAUCAACUAAUAGGAUUUCAAGUGUAGUUGCUUAGGUAACAUCGAUCCAGAGGGGAACCACAAGGUGGGUAUGAGGUGGGACAAGACUAUGGUCAACUAGUUAGAUUACAAGUAUCAUCUUAGGUACUAUUGAUUAGAUGGGGAAGCAAGUCACUUAACAAUGUACAGGGAAGGAACAAGGACUUUUUCCUGAAAGACAGGGUGGGAGAUUUUGAUUCCCCACCCAAGUUGAUUGAUGCCUGUUUAGAAUAUCAAUCAUUAAUGUUCAUCUCUGGGGGAACUUUAUAUGUGUAGUCAUUUCUGUGUCUGGAGACCUGCCCUUCAACAAUUUCACCUCCAGCCACAGUUUUCUUUAGCACUGACCUUUUCUGAAGGGCUAGCCCUGUCUGACUGCCUAUGAGAUUUCUAAAUAACAUUGCUGUCCCUAGUAAUAGAGGUAGACUGGUCUGCCCAUGAGCUCUUAGCCCCCUCCCCCCCAAACCAGCUUCAGACCCCGCAUAUGUAAGUUAGUCCCUGCACUAACCGGUGAAGAACAGGGACCAUGUUUUCUUGUGGUGCUGUCUGGCCACCGGCUCUGUUUCAGCUGCACCGCCAGACUCUUGCAUAGAAAAGAAAUACCAGUGUGACAUGCAUUUUGGCCUGCAGUGUUUUCUUAUAUUCAACAGUGAAUACCGCCACUUUGCCUUUCUCUAUGGAAAAUGAUUCAUUUGGCAGCCAAUUUCAUAGCUGUAAACUUUAAACAACAAAGAAAUUUCUUUCUUGAGUGGAAAAAAUAUAGUCAAAGAAGAAAGACUCUUAGAGACAUUAAAGACCCAUCUGAUAGUGGAAGACCGGAAAAUGUUAAAUUAUUCAGAAGUUUCCCGAUAACUGGUGAAUAAAUGCAUGAUGGAACAUUUAGAAUUUGGCGGUCUUCUAGAUAAGCCAUUAAACAAAUGCAUUAUGUAGCUUCAAAAAUUUUGGGGGAAAUUUUUAUUAUGAUAUAUUGGAUGAUGGCUAAACUCAAAUUCGUGCUAUGAAUGAAAAUAUAAUGCCCUAAUUACAGUGAAUUAUUUUUACUAGUGCAUUUGGCUUCUUUUUGAAAAAAGAUACUCUGAGGCAAAUCAGACAAUCCUUGAAAGUAGGAUAUUGGUGUGUAGGGUGUGUUACUGCCCCCCAGCAAAUGCCGUAUGGGUUGAGCUACAUUUGGUGAUCACAAACCCUUCUUCUUGGAAUCACUUUCCUGCUGUUUGAGGAAUGUGUGUAGUCUCCAGCCUUUAUUUCCAGAGUGAUUUCUCAAAGAUACUGUGGUCUGGCAAAGCCGCAUGGUGCUCAUUAGGUUUGGAGCAUGUUUUAAAUAGUGACAUUUGAUUAUAUUUGUUGCCUUAAAGUAUGUGAACAAAAUGUUUCAAACCACAAGAACAAGAGAACUUUUUUAUGUUUGAUUGUGGUUAAUCUGUUUUCUGUUCCCCCUGGAGAGAAAAUGCUUAGAAAAAAAGUCACGUGUUUCAGGGUUCCUCCCAUAAAAUCAGAGGUAGACAUGAAAUAACAGGAAAAAGUCAUUUCACUUUAGUGGCUUUCAUUCUGAAGCAGUAUACUUGGAAAACUUAAAAUGUUCAUUGCCUGAACAAGUGGCUACAUACUUCUAAAGAAAUUCAUAAAAAAUUGAAUAAGAAAUAAUGAAGCUGUCCCUCCAGAGAAACCUCCUUCACAUGACUUUUCCUCUUCUUUGGUACAAUACAACCUGAAGGGCAUUUAAUGGCAACUAACAGAGGAUUACAUAGCGCUUACACCACGCAGCCUUGAAUAAUCAACUGCUUUCCUCUCAAUUUUAGCUAUCAGUUUUUUAGUUCUCUGAAUGUUGUCUAUACUGGUACAUAAUAUCACUAUUGUUUGGCACUUAGUUUCCUUUUCUUGCUUAGUAUAUUGCAAGGUACAACCUUUGCAGGAAAAAAGAGAGAAAACUAUGCCUGUAACCACUCUUGAGUGGUGUGUUAAGUGAGUCUGGAGAGACAGAAACCAGCCAGAAAAAUGAGUUCUAGCCAGAGUAGUCCAGACAGGCUUUAAAGAGGAAGGAAAUUAAAUCUGAGAACUCUGAAAACAAGUAGAUUUAGGAAAGAAUUGAGGAAGACUUUUAGAUAAGCAUCAUUUGUCUUGGGUAAAAAUACGGCUGAGAUGUUCUCUGCAAUGUUUUAUUUUUGUCCUCUGAAUGCUUUUCUGGGAGCAUAACUCAUUUCUUUUUGUACACUGUUUUUGUUUUUCUCAGCCCUCUGCUUCUAAGGUUGAUGAGAAUUCUUCCUGCAACUCACUGGAGAUUCUGUGGGAUAAAAUCCCAAAGGGUCACCUGCAUGUGCUUGUUGUAGACAGCAUAUUUUCAUUGGGUCAUUUACUGUGGCUUAAUUGGGGAGGUCCCUGGGUGGCCCUGAGGUGCAGAGGCCCCUCCUUGCCGGGUAGACUCUGCAAUGGUAGUGGCAUUUCCCAUUACUUGGGACAGAUGAAAUGGCUGAUUGUAGGGAGAGAUGUUCCGUGCCAGCCACCCCCCCCCACCCCGGUCGCUUUGUCCCUUCCAUGAUGUCGAAUGCAGGCAGCGCUGUUGUCCUUGCUUCUCCCUUGUGUCACCAUCUUCUAUACUGCAUAAAUCGGAUGACUCUCAGAUAAGCAACAGUCCAUGGAAAUCUUCAUCUCUCCUUCCUUCCUUCUCUGGCACAUCCUCCAGCCACACUGGCGACCAGCGGUGUGUUCACCUCAAGGCAUAUCACGUACCCAGCGGUGAGCCUUCAGUCCACAGUGCCAAGGUGGAAGUCUGCCUUUUUCCUGGGUCUACAGAAAAGCUGUCUUUCGGAUCCAGCUUUCUCUGUCUUCAAAUUGUACCAAUUUUAUUGGCUUACCUGGGUUAAUUACAUGAUUAAGUGUUUUACCAUAUGGGCUUAUUGUUUCAACAUUUUCCACUUGUUGGCUGUUUAUAGUAUUUUCCAUUUAUUGUAUUCCUGCAAAACUAACUUAUUUUUAAUGAUUCAUAAAAUACAUUUGUAAUGUAAUUGGGAUUACUAAUUUUUUUAAAUCCUUGCCUAUUUAAAGAAAAGCUAUUGUGUUUUCAAAAUGAGAUUCUUCAAGCCUACUGUGGAAACUGUAAUAUACAGAAAUUUUAUGACUGUCUCUGUUUGAGAAUCUUGAUAAUUUAAAUGUAAAUUCUGACCAGUUACAGUAACUUUGAUUCCUUCUAGUGCUUGAUAUUUUUUUUCCCUUUUAGUAAGUCUUAAGCAGAAGAACAAGUAGGCACCAAAUCCUAGAAAACAAGAUGGUAGAAAGUUUACCAGCUUACAGAUUCAGAGUUUUUAAGAGUAUGUAGAAAAUAGCAGACCUAGUUUUUUUCCCCCUUCUGCAGCUAAGGAAAGCUAUUGAAUGUAUAUAUAACAGUAACUUGGUGGAUUGGUUUACUGAAUUCAUUUAUCCAAUACUUAUGGCCUUGCUACUGCAUAUCCUGUAGUAGUCUAGGUCCCAGAUGAUAAUUAAGUGGGUGAAGACAGACAAACAGACUAGGUCCCGUGGUCAUGUCUUGCAUUCUAAGAUGGGAGAAAGCAAAAGAAGUAUAUUAGAUAGAGUAUAGCAAGGGCUGUGAAGGAAAGUACAGCUGGAGGAGGAGGUUAGGCAGUGAUGCAAACCUUUUAGAGUUUUCAGUGAUAACAAACCGCCAGCUUCAGCAUGUGUGCCAUAGGUUCACCACCACUGGCAUUAGAGUGAAAUGACAUUAACUAGAUGGUGGGGUGAGGGGCUCCCUUGCAGUGAGGCGAGAGGUUAGGGGUGGGGUUGUUCCUGACAGGGACUAGCAGAUGUGAACCUGUGAAGAAGUACCAUGUGUGGGAGACUUUUGAAGCAGAGAAGACAGAAUGAGGUCCAGCUAAGCAGGAGCAGAGCAGGGGCUGAGCCAAGGUAAGGACUUUCAGAGGCUUUGAGAUAAAGGAGCAAAGUAAUCAGAUUUAUGUCCAUGAAAAAUGACUUGGGUUGAGGGUGGAGAGCUGAUAGAUGGAGAGUUCAGACUCCAAGAGGCCAUGCCGAUCUCUGGUUGGUGGCUUGCAGCAAAAAGGCAAGGAUGGUGAGUGGUUGCUUUGGGGCAUGUUCUGUGCAAAGAGCCCCAAGAUUGGAUGCAACCUUGGAUGCAGGGUGAGAGAGUGGAACUAGAAUUAAUGGCAGGGUUUGGGGCUGAGGCACCAUGGGCAUGGAGGUGCCACUCACUCAGAUGCAUAAGUAAAGGUAGGAAUUGGUUGGAGGAAAAAGCAGAGCUCCAGAUUUUUGCAAAUGGUUUGCUCUUUGAGAUGCUUGUUAGAGAUCUAAUUGGGAGGUUCUGAUUACACCAAUUGUGGACAAGCAGGGUUCUGUAGGAUGGUGAAGGACCCUGGGGCAAGACAGGGUGGCCAUGAGCCCUGUGGGAGGCAGAGUCAGUGUGGCAUAAUGUGAUGGUGUUAUGCUUCGGUGGAGAUGAUGACUUCACAGAGCAGGAAGAGAGAUCUGGAGUGAAUGAGAAGGGAUGCGGUCCUACCCCACCACCUGCCACAAGAGGAAAAUAUUGACAGGGCUGCAAGUGAAGCAUCAUCCACAAGGACAAUCAGGAUUUAAUUAGUGUGAAAAGAUCAAAGAAAGGCUUGGCAGAGAGAUCUGGUUUUUGCCAAUGACAGAUCAUGACUUCUUAAAGUCCAGGGAAAGACUUGGGAGUCUGGGGCAGGCUAAGAGACAUUUGAAGGCAACUAAACAGGGCUGGGGCCUAGAAUCCUUGUAACAAGUGGAUUACACAGGGACAGAGGAUCUGAUAGGAUUAAUCAUCCUUCUUAAGACAGAUUCAUGAAUAAACUUUUUCCUGUCAAAAGAUGGUAAAUACUUUAGGCUUUGCAGGUCAUACCAUCUCUGUCAAACUUAGAUCUGCCCUUUCAGCAUGAACACAACCAUAGAUGACACAGAAACAAAUGGUCAUGGCACUAUCCCAAUAGAACCCUGAUUAAACAAGCAAGAGACAGAUUUGCCCAAAGGUCAUGGUCUUGCAGCCCCAAGCUAGGGAGGCAUUUUUAGUUGGUUGGAAGGAAGAGGAAGCUUUUGAGACCCCUAGUUCCGGCUUCAUCCUGAUCAGGUAUCUGUCAUCCUCUGGGAGAAGCAGGCCUUUCCAUCCCUCCUCUCAGUGCAGGAGCCUUUGGAAAUUUGGCUUCAUGAAGGAGACAGGUAAUCUCAGGCCUACAGUCAGGAACUUCCCCUCAUCUCCACAGCAGACAGACAAGAGGAAAUAGAGUUCAGAUGUGAAACAGGAGGCAGUGAAGUUACAUAAAAGAAAACUGCCUGGCAUUAAUGAUGGUAAAAUACAUGAAAUAACUAGGAAGAUUUGACGGAUAUUGGGAGUUUUAAUGAAUAAAAGCAGUUUCCUUCUUUGAGCUGGACCACAGAAUCUCAGUCUGUUUCAGGCCCUGGGUGUUUUCAUGUGAAUGUGCCAUUUUCUUAACUCAGUGAAAAGUAGAUCUGUCAGGCACUCAGAAAUGCAAUUUGAGAAUGUAAUGUUCUCACACUGUAGCUGCGUGUGUCCGAAAUCAGCCCUGGCCUGGACAGUUACGGUGAGGGAGUGCAUUACUCUGCAGUGGCCAAGGAGCAGGGUCAUGAUCAUACAGAAUUAGGCCUGUGAGAAAUAAGCAGAUUUGGGGUUCAGGGACUGUGGGAUGCAGGUGGUGACCUGGGCAUUCAAACAAGAAAGCAGAGUAGAUAUUAAACAAAUGCCUAUGAAAUCUCUCACAGAGAAAAAAAAAAAUUCACUUCUUUUAAUGUCAGCACUUUAGUGGGAUCUACUUGAAGACCCAUUUUCUGAGACAGACUCUUAGUAGGGGCAGAGGGAGCAGCCUUGGUGGCCAGACCAACUUCAGGCGGACCAUGGGUAAAGCAGAGACUGCGUGCUGGGCAGUCCCAGGAGUUUCACCCACCUCUUCCAAGAGUGAACUUGGGCCUCGGGCUCAUUGUUAAAGCAUUGUGUUAGGUGAUCUCAAGAGGGCUCUCCAGAUGUAAAGCUUCUGUAUGUCCUACAGCACUACAUGUCAUAAAAUAUUAUGGAAAUUACAGUUAUGGUGACAAACUUAAAAACACUGCUGCUGAACAAGCAUAGAUUGUCUUGUUUAGUUGAUAGGGCUUAACCACAUAAGGUACUUAGAGAUGUUAAACAAUUUUUUUUCAAAGUGAAACAUGAAUAAAAUUGCAUAUUUUUUCCAAAUCAUUGUUGCUCUUCUUAUAACAGUUGGUUACUUUUUGGUGCAAUAAUUUUCGCCUAGAUCUUACCAGGCUUGACCAUCCUUGCUGUGUGUCUACAAAGAAUAUUAAACUGCCUUCCCUUUCAUCUCACUGCAACUGCGUCUGCGCCAUCACAGCUGCACUUCAUUUCCACUUUGCAUUAGGGAAUACAAAACUGAGCUGUGUUUAAGCAACUUAGUGUCAAUCAGAGUCCAGAAUCCAUUUUCCCAGGCUGAGAAGAAGGUAAAUAAAUUGGAUCUAGUGAGAAGUCUGAAUAUUAGGAUGUGGCCGUCAUUGUCUCUUUCAUCAGAACUCCAUGAAGAGGGCAGGCAAUCCCCGAGGCCCUGCACGGGUCACUGGGCGCGCUGCCCUAUUACACAACAUCAGCAUAAUCCACUCUCUGGGUCCUUUGUGGGGCAGCGGGUCUUGGCCAGCCUGUUCUCCUGCCCCAGCUGCUGCCAUGCCAGCUGAUUCUGCUGCUCCUUAGCCUCUUUCAUGCCUGAUUCCCAUGAACAGGACCCGGCUUCGGUAAACAAGCUGACCCUUCUGCAGGCAGAAUCUCAAUUUGUAGUUAGUCCCAGGCUGCCCAGUCCAAGGUGCUUUUCUUCCUAUAGAAAGAGCAUUUGAUUGUCAUCAAGGAUUCUGGGGUGCUAAAACUGCCUGGUGCUACCAAGGGAGAUGCUAGAGGAGGGAAUUUCCCAGGAUGCAAUGCUGUCAUCACACUUCCAUGAUUUGGAGUUUUUAUUAGGUCAAAUACAUAUUUUCUUUCAAUAUUGUAAAAUUAAUUUAAAAAUCCAGUGAGCUUCAUGUAAAGGAUUGUGUUUCAAUAAAUGUAAUAAUUCAAAACACCUGUUUAACUCAUGGCUUUGGAUUCUAAUCAAAGAGCUAUUACUCCUUUGCUUGAGACAUCUGAUUUUUCUUUUGCUUUUUCUUAAAAAAAUAAAAAGACAACACUCCCAUUUGAUUGAAACUUGA